rnacentral:lncRNA from 1 species
CACCUCCCUUCCUCCUCCCAGCGGCCUAUCCGUCGGUCGCGACGACGGCUGCUACAUCUACCGGUGCGCCUUCCUCGCCAUCGACGUCGCCGAUGCCAGCUUCGUGCUGCUGGUCAUGGACGUGAAGCUGCGGCCGCGGACCUUCUGGUUGGAGGACGGCGAGUGGGGCCCCCUCCGCCGGCUCUCCUCGCCGUGGGAUAUCUUCACGGACGAGGACUGGACCUGAGGUCUGACGUGGAGGUCCCACGCCGCCGUCGUCGGGGACACCGUGCACUGGCUCUGCAUCAAGACCGACUUCGGCCGGUUCCCCAGCCUCCGCUCCCCGUUCCAUAGCACCCGCCAGAAUCGCCUGGUCAUCCUCGCCUUAGAGGCCGACGCGGUAGACACGGCCGAGGUGAUCGAGCUGCCGCAGGCCUGCCUCGAAAGCUUUGGGCGCAGGAUAACCACCUCCUCGCCGGAUUGAUGACCGAGCUGUUGUGUUGCAAGUGAAAAAGAAUGAGUCACGUGAUUCUUAAUACCUCCAAGCCAUUAUCAGUCGGAUUGAUGACAACAAAGAUUGCAGUACCAAGUACCAUACAUGCAUAUUUUAUUUAUGAACUAUAGUUGGUUUUAUGUCUUUCUUUCCAAACAUUAAAAACAAUGAAUUCCAGAAAAUGCAUACAAUCUCAUCGAGCAGAGAAUAACACUAGAAUGAUCCAACGAAGAAUUCUAAUGAAAUCAAGCUAGCACAUGCAUGGGCUCUACAAUCAAACAAUUGUGCUCAGAUCUUGUGUCUGCAUCACGGAACGUAAGUAGUAACAGGUGUCCGCAUCAUGGAUCUUAUUAAAACCUUCUUAGCUUCAUCAAGACCAGAAAAAACUCUGGCAACUCAUCCUAGCUGACAGAAUUACCUCACUUGUAAGUACAUACUGCCCUUCCCAUCCCCAGCAGAUUCAUCUUGAACAUCCAUGCCAACCAGAUUUUGAUUUCUCCCCAUUUUUUUACUAGACAUUGCACUGCCACCAGCGUCCACACCAUCCUUCUCUUUACAGAACCCAUACUAGAGUCACAAAUCCUCAUCCCUACACACAAAAAAUCCAAAUCUUUGUAAGUAGACAAAUUAAGUACCCAGCGGAAAAACUAAACUUGAAAGAUGAAAUCCAACAACACUUUAUGCAAGCGUUUUAAAAAAUAGGAACAUUUCUUGUAGGCAUGCGAGAAGUAGAGGCAGAACACAGAGGAAGAACCAGUAGGCAUGUGAGAAGAAGAGGGACCCCCAUGACGACCAGGCCAACUUCCUGUAUUACAAUGAAAUGAGAAGGGCAAGUUUGGAAUGCAAAUAGAUCGAAAUACAAGGCAUGCAUUCGAUUUCAAAAAUUGGAACAUUUCUAGGAUUCAUGGGAGAAGCAAAAAGGAGGAGACCUUUACAAAAUAGAGUACAAUGAGACCUUUACAAAUAGAGUACACUGGGGCACCACAAUCAAAUAUGCAAGAGACACACGCAGGCAUGCAUUCCAUUCAAAAAAUUGGAACUCUAGAAUCAUACAAGAAGCAAAAGAUGGGGGACUUUUAGAAUGCAAUGAUGAGAACUCACCUCACCAAAACACUCCAGUAGCGGAGCCUUUUUCUGGCAGAUGUAUCGUUUGACUGCUCCUUCAGCCGGGGCCUCGCAUGCCUGUUCCAUCCAUCCGUCUCGAUCCAUCCUUGAGUUCCCCUGACCUUGCAGUCCCGCUGCUGCUGCUCUUACACAUGCAGCGCAGCGCAAGCACACUCGCUGUCAUGCCGUACACGGGCGAGUUUAGACUCUGCAUCUUCACCGGGAAGAGUUCAUGCUUAGAACCAUCACCGCCGGCUACACAGGCCCAAGGAAGAAAAAAAGCGCAUCAUUAGCUAUCAAGAACAAAUAAGAGAACUUUUUCCUUGAACGUCAAAGACAGUAGCAAGCGCACAAAUCACUCAGUAGAUCUCAAAUCUAGAUCUAGGAUACGAACCUGUGAACCCGGCGAACCUUGUGGCCUCAGACCCUCCCCACGGAGCGGCGACUUCCCGAUACAUGCGGCUUGUUGAACUCCAUCGCACAAAACUCAGUGUGGUCGGCGGCGGCGUUGAGCGCCGGCGGGCGGCAGGGAGAACAGGAGAGUCGAGUCGAAUGGAUUACAAGGAGCAUUUACAUCAAACGGGGAGCACCGCUGGAGCGCCAGCUCCACAACCAGGCAACUUUUCCAGGCCAAACAACCGAAACGAGGCACGCGAUGGGUUGACUACAUGGGACCCACCUCUAUAAACAAAUGUAAGUCCGUGGGACCUUUCGCAUGCAGCUGGUACCUUUUCACCGCAUCCCAAGGCUCGCAGGUGGGACCUUUUCGCCCGGGCGCUGUUGGAAGCUCCGCGGCCGCUUGUACGUACAUCUGGUUUUUUCCAGUCUGGUCGUCGUCUCGUCGCGUGCGCUACUACUACUAGGACCCCGCAUUAGGAGGGCGUGCGCGCAGGUCUAUUUGCGACAUACAUGGUGCCACGUGGCGUCGGCGUCGGGAAACCUAAGCGGCUUCCGAAAGCCCGGAAGUUAUCUCGUGGCCGUGCACCAACAGGCUCAUCAAAGCCCAGCUUUCCACGGGCCUUGGCGCCAGCCCAGCAUGAGGUGCAGUUUGCAGAUAGAGCAUGCACAAAAAAGUAACAGACGUCUCAUGCCUCGAAACAAAGAGGCGAGAUCUCUCUUGCAAGUAUGCACAGCAUGUGUCAAGGUGGCUGCUACGUUCCAUCUGCUUUCAAAGGAUAUGGUGACCGUAUUGUAUGACAUACAUUCGCGUAGCAAAUUUGCUCGGGAUUCUCAUACCAACUAUUGUAACAGCAAUCAGUUCCAGCCCUUAGAUACAUUUCAGUACCCUCACUGGCUCACUGCAACUGCAUCCAGACCAAGGCACUCUUUGAUACCCGGUUAAACUUUAACCUUGUCACAUCGAAUAUUUAUAUAUUAAUUAAGAGUAUUAAAUAUAAUCUAAUUACAAAACUAAUUGUACUGGAGGCAAAUUCACGAGACAAAUCUAUUAAGGCCCCGUUUGGAUCCCUUCAUUUGAAAGAAUUGGAAUCUACUUAAUGGAGUAGGCUAAUUUAUCUUGUAACGUGGCAUUCCACAACUUUCCAAAGUUUAGAUAUAAGCCUAUCUUAAAUUCAUGGGGUGGGAGAUGGAAAUUGAUUCUAUAGAUUAUGAUUAUUAGAAUGGAAUUCAAUUCUUAUAGCACGCUCUUGAACUCGCUUCCCUAUAUAGAAGUGCAGCACAUAAGUAUCUCUCCCAUAUCGCCAACAAUAAUAUACAAAUAUAUUCCACAUACAAUUAUAGUAGCUUAAUUAAUUCGUGUCUAAAUUAUGAUUAUUAGAAUGGAAUUCAAUUCCAAUGAUCCAAACGGGACCUAAGCCUAAUUAGUUCACGAUUUGACAAUAUGAUACUACAGUAACCAUUUGCUAAUGAUGGAUUAAUAAAUUCAUCUCGCGAAUUAGCCUAAGGCUUCUACAAUUAGUUUUAUAAUUAGUUCAUGUUUAGUCCUUCUAAUUAGCAUCCAAACAUUCGAUGUAACAAGAGCUAAACUUUGGCCCAAAGAUCCAAACACGCCCUAAAGCAAAACACUAGCAGUACAGGAGAGUUAGGGCCUGUUUGGUUUGAGUUGCUUAUUAUAAGCAACUUAAAGUUGCUUAUUUUUUGGUCUAACUGUUUGGAUACCCUUGCUUAUAAGCAUUGAAUGAGAUGGACAUUAUCAUAUUUGCCCCUUGUGUUGCUACCCCUCAUCUUUGCCUCCCCACACUUCUUCUUCCUGCACAAUGUGUACCAGAAUCCGAAUCCACAAAACACAAUGGCCCCCGCUUCCUCCAUGCAUGGCCUAGAUCCAUGCCUCCACACCAGAAUCGGGCAGGGAGCGGCAGCAGCUCGCCGAGGCGGCGAUGGGGCGGGAGUGGUGGGCGGAGGCUAUCUGCCUAGCGCGACGGCAGGCGGCGCGGAGGCGGGCGGCGGGUGGCGCGGAGGCCAACGUCGGCGGGUGGCCCGGAGGAAGGGGAGCUGGUGAGUGGUGAUGGGGGAGGGGGGGAGAGAGAGAGGUAGGAUGCAUUAAAUGAAGGCAGGAGGUGUAAAGUGCCCCUUUUAGUCCCCAUAAGCAACCAUAAGCAACCUCAUAAGCAAGAGUGAUUGGUUUGAUAAGCAACUUAUUUAUUUAUUUUAAGUUGAUUAUGCAUAAGCAAGUGCCCUUAAUCUUACCACCAUUCAUUAAAAAUGCAGGCGCGUGAAUUUAUCAGCAUUUACUCCCAACCACCUGACUUUUCAGCCAAUUCAAAGAAGUAUAUCAGCUUUAACACCUCCUCCAUUUGAGAAUAUAUAUUUGACCCUCCGGUCAUCGGCAGAUUACGUUAGGGCAGGAUAAUCCUGUCCCAACGUUAACUUUUGAUGACCAGAGUAAUGGACAAUACAAUGUCUCCAAUAAUCAACUUUGAGCAUCCGUUCUUGUAAUAGCAGUUAGCACUGACAUGUCAGUAAUACAAAAAAAAAAGGUUACAGCAAUUUAUCAACGGACGAUUCACAAAUUUGAAUUAAAAUGUUAUAUCAAUGAAUGUAAAACUGUAGAAGUCAUACCCUCCUGCUAUUUGAGAACUGAGCUACUCUGAUGCAUGUAGGGCGACAAUAAGAAACUCUAGUUCCACUUCCAGAUGCACUAUCACCAACUUCCUGACCAUGUCCACUACUGAACUGCCUUUGUAGCCAAGAGUGAUUGUGGACAUCAAGAUGCUCUAACACAAAGACUCAUCUGGCCCAAUCACAAAGACGCGAGAAUAAAGCAUUCUCAUCAGCAGAAAAAGAUUAUUCACUACAAAUGACCAAUAUUCUGAACUGGAAAUGGAUAUAACAGAAAUUUUCUGGUGCGUGCAGUCAUGGAACAAAAACAAUAGUGGACUGCUCAACCCUUAAGCAUUUGUUAAUGAGGCUUGGUUCACGUAUAUUUUGAACACUAGAAUUGUUGACAAAAGGUUUCGGUAGACCUAGGAUUACUUACAACAUUGAAGGAUAUUCAGUCAACAAUAGCACCUGAGAACUAGAACUUUGGUAUUUCCUAUUGACUUCCAUGUCAGUAGUCAUUACUAGCAAAGCAAAGUUUAACAGAAAAAAGGUUAAAAGAAAAGGUAGAAAGGAGCGAGUAUCAACAAUGUAUGUCACAGACACUCCGUCCAUUCUUUAAUCUACUUAUAUCAGCCAGCCUUUUUAGUGAGGGCAUAGGCGUCCAUAGUUCCUUGUUAUAAUCUUAAGUUACAUCAGCCAGCCUUUUAAUAGCUUUUAUGGCAACUCGCCAGAGGUGCUUAUAGGAUGAUAUAAUCUACCCAUUUCGCAGCACGGAUGAUUAGUUGAUUAUCCCUGUAUUACCAAAAAAAUGAAUGAUUAGAAAGUUACUAUAAAGAUAUAGGAAUCAAGGAGCAACUUAUGACAAAAGGCGGAAGCAUGACAGCACAGAAUGUAUAAAUUUCCAUACAACCAGGUCACACAUAAAGGAAUAGCACGAUAUGUAAUUGAUAUAAAACAUUGCUGAACGUUAAUGGAGUAUUUGCAUAUGUGUAUAGGGCAAAACCAAGCAACCUACUAACUCUAUUCAAGGGCCAUCAUAAAUCGCUAGUGCUGAUCCCUUAGUAACUCAAUAUCAGGGUGAACCAAUACUGACUACUGAGUACCACUAGUCAGAAAAUCCUCUGUAUUUUUCCCAUUUUGUGCAGAUUGGAGAAGAAAAGAAGAGGAUUGGUCCAAGGAAAUUUUUUGAAUCUAGUAGGUAUUGAAGCAUUUGUGAAAAGUUGCUACAUGCUACAUGGAAAAGUUGCUACAUUUGUGGAAAUUCCGAAAAACUAAACUGCUGAAUUAGCUGAAAUUGAGCAGAUGAUCCAGAGGGCAAAGCAACAAGAGUGCCACUAGUUGCCUUUGAGCUUUUAAGCACAAUGUAUAACAACCUUUUACAGGCUAAGACAUGCGCGGACAAAAUUCAAGGCUGAAAUUGUGUACUUUAUUUUUCAUUACCUGGUCAUGAACUCCUAAUUGAAAAUCAUAGCUGCUCAACCUAUGUCUCGUACAGCUUUUUCUCUACACACGUAUUGCAGCUGCAACAAAGAGUUUCACAUAUAGACUGUGACAUUAGUGCCCAUUUGGUUCUCAAAUAUUUUACUCCAAAACAACAAUCUUACCUUUCUUGGAAUCCACAAGCAACAUUGGGUGUUGCUGUAACAGGAAUAGAUUCCCUCUUCUCUUCCCCAGGGUUGACUGCCUGCUUGGGACUGCCAUCCCCAUCCCCUUCCUGCUGCUCCUCGGGCUCAUCUUCUGCACCAGUUGCAGAGGUAGCAGCAGCUGCAGGCCCACUCAUUGCACGGCUACCACUGUCCACCCUGUUGUCUGCAAUGGAGGUGUCAUCCUCCACAAUGGAGGUCCCGUUGCCAUCAGCUUGUCCAGGGAACAUGGGUGAGCCAGCAGGUGAACCGAGAUGGUGGCCCCUGCUUGCGAGGUCGAGGAGCUGCAGCCCCAUGAACCGGCGGCCCUCCAGCUCGAUGGCUCGCUGCAGCUCGGCCGCAUGCUGCUGCUCUUCGAGCUUCCUCCUCAGAAACGCCUCAUGCUUAACGAUGUUGCCGUACAUCAUCCUUGGCCCUAACAGAUGCAGAAUCAAACUGUCAAACACCUGCGAUCUGCAACCCUGAUGCAGCCAGAAAAAGGGUGCAUGCAGAGAAGGGUUACUACACACCAAUCUGCGGCUGAGUCAGGUCGAAGGGAUCCCUGGAAUUGAGCAAUCCAGUGGGCGACGUGCAGCCGGCAAAGUCGCCAUGGUGCGGGUGCUGCAGCUUCCUGCAAUCGAACAAAAUGAAAACAAAGCAUGAAAUUGAAACGUUCUCUUUAGGAACAGAAACUGUCAAAACAAGCAAUGUGCAACUCCAUGUAGGAGGCGCGGCGUGAGAAGGCAACGGACCUGAACCUGUCGGGGACCUUGCCCUUCUCCUUGUAGGGCUUGACGAGCACGCGCGCGUCACACACGAAAUGCGGGUUCCCCUUGCUCAAGAUGACCUUCACCGUCUCCGGGUAGACGAAGGUGACGAAGCCGAACAUGCGCUUCUGCUGGUACGGGAUGCGCACGUCCUGCACUGGUCCGUACAUGCUGCCCGGUGGCAACCAACCAAAGGUGCAUCACGAUCAAUCAAUCGAUUUCGUCCAUCAUUGGAUUGGACUACCAGGAGACAGUGAGAGCAAGUACCUGAAGUAGUUGGAGACGUCCUCCUCGCUGAAGGUGGAGUCGGCCGGGAAGGUAAGGUAGAUCUGCCGUGCGGCGGGGCUGGAGAUGAGGUCGCCGCGGUCCAUCCGAGGCGAGCGCACCGGGAACCUGUGCAUGUCCUCGCCGCCGCCAAACAGCACCCUGACACAGCAAGCAAAAUAAGCAAGGCGCGUCAAGAGGGAAACCAAAGGAAUGCAACAUUGGGUGGUAAAAAAUGGCACCUUUGGGGCUCGUUCUGCUGCUGGAGCAGGGAGUCGAGGCUGACGCCUUUGGGCGGCGACGGCGACGGCGAGAAGGGGAACGCGGACGCCAUGAGCUGCUGCGGCCGCGCGGCGGCGGCCAAGGCCUUGGCGCGCAUUACGACCAUCUCCCGCUCCGCGGCCGCCGCGUCGUCCUCAGGCAGGCCGUGGAGGAAACGGCAGGAGGAGCCGUUCCUGCAGAACCCGCGCGCGAAGUACAUGCAGGGCCUCCACGCGCCGGCCUCGUCGUCGCUGAGCAAGAAGCUGUACUCCUCCUCGGGGUAGAACGCGUCGGCGCCGCCGUCGUACGCCGCCUGGUCGGCUACUCCUCCCCAGGGCGGGCCGGGGCCGAGCACGGGGGACGGCGGGGACGCGGGCUUGGCGGCGAGCUCGGCGUGCGCGCUGGCGACGACGGCGCGGAGCAGGUCCUCGGGGCCGAAGGCGAGGCGGAUCAGGUCCUUGACGCUGUUGUCCUGGAUGAGGAGCAGGCCCAUGAUCUUGGAUGCGUUGUCGGGGUCCAGCGCGCGCACCCGGUCGAACACCACCUUGGUGGCCUCCCAGGCGUCCAUGGCCGGGGCGCGCCCGUUCUCAGGUGGCGCGGUGGUGGCUGGUGGUUCGCUUCUUGAAGGGGAGGAGGGGGGGAAGGGAAGGUGAAAAGCGGCGGAUGACAGGGAGGGGAGUGGGGGCACGGUUGUAAAAAAGCCUUGCACUGCGGGCACGGUGAAUUAAAUAGGGUGCCUGCUGUUGCUGGGUUGGAGACGCUGCAGACUCAAAAGCCGGGCCGUUCGGUUCAGUUUCCCUCCAUCAAUGUUUUGGGAAAUUUUUUGGUGGGGAUUUGAAUUCGGCGGUUGUUUUGCUUUGCUUGCCGUGGCAACGAGUACUUUGAUUUGGAACUUGGAUCGAGUGGUCUCCGGGCGUUCAAAUUUUCGUACAAGUAAUGUGCAUACCUAAUUUGAUUUUAAUCGCUUUUUUUUGCCAGAGUCAUAGACACGUACUUCCUCCGUCCCAUAACAAUACAAUUCUAGGUAUGUAUCUAAAUAAGUGCUUAUCCAAAGUAGGUAUACGUAGUAAUAUUGCUCGAUGCGUGAUAAAAUCACACCCCACAAGGGAUUUCAAAUUUGAACUCAUGGCAACUUGCGUCUAGCAAUAUAGAGCCGUUUCAUAAUGCAAAACCUAUAAAUUACCAUCCCAUUUAGCUACACCUACAGACAUUGGAGAUGAUUUCAUUAGAAACGGAUACAGAAUGAAUAUAAUAAUAUAACAAAUUAUCACCUCUAGGCGCAUGAGGGUACGUUUGUCUGAGCUGUAGUUUUUGGAGCUUUUUGAAAAAGCUGCCGCUAGCUUUAGGUUCUGAAAAGCUAAGGAUAACUUUUAGAAAUAUUUUAAGCUUUGUGGGCUUAUAGAACUACGAACAACUUAAGAAACUUAAUUUUUAGCUUUUUAUCUUUUUAUGUAAACUCAACGAGUAUUUGAACUUUUUGAAAGCUGCACAAGAUAUUCACUGUGCCUAGAAGCUCGAACAAACAGCCACGUCGUAGUGCUGGAAUGUCCCGAGCGGAGCAUUAGGAUUUAUAGAUGGCCAUAAAUCAAGUGUUGGACGUCUCACGAUCUAGAUACAUACCUUCUUACCGGUGUAGUAUGCUAUGGCCUUUUUGUUUUCUAUUGAUAAUCGUAUGCUGUGGCGUUGAAUUCCCUUUCUCCCCGGCAAGGCCAUCACAAUCUUGAAUUGCACUGUGUUUACAUUGCAAUCCUAUUCUCGUAUACAUGAUCGCCCCCCUCUGCGUCACUUGCUUGUGUGGUGUGUACAUUUUACAUCGUGCAUGGAGGGCGAAAAUAAAAAUAAAAUAAAAUUACAUGAUGCAUGCUUGAUCUCUCGCGUCCGUGAGCCCGUACGCGUGUGCGGUGUGCCUGCUCUGCUAGGGACGGCCCCCCGAUCACAUGGCAGCGCCCACUGCGUGGGUCCCGCCUGUGCAACUGUGCAAGCAUGCACACACCUCUGCAACUGGUUUGUACUGAGCCGGCUAGCAGCUCUAGCACCACUGCCAGGCCAUCGUCCGAAUCGAAACAUACUAUGGUCACUGACAUGCCGGCCUUCGCGGAGGUGUGGCCCAUAAGUAGCGAGAGCGGGAGGGCCCUCUGUCUGUGUUGCCCCGGUGUGGUGGGUCUUGCUGGCGCUCCGUCCAAAAUGGGAUAGGGCCACAUGUUUAGUUACUCUCAACUCCCAACUUUGACACUAUGUAAAAAGAAGAUUCCCCAUCACAUCAAACUUGCGGUACAUGCAUGGAGUACUAAAUGUAGAUGAAAUUAAAAACUAAUUGCACAGUUUUGUUGUACUUUGCGAGACGAAUCUUUUGAGCCUAAUUAGUCAAUAUUUGGAUAAUAAUUCACAAAUACAAACGAAAUGCUACAGUAUGCUACAGUGCUGUAGCAGUAAUUUGGCACCUCCCAAAUUCCCCAACUAAACAAGGCCGUAGUCUACUCGAUUACAGAUGGGCCCCGCGGUCCGGAUCCGUGUUGUGAACUGCUGACGACCACACGAUGACAUGCCAUCGGUUUCCGCCAAAGACUGGGGGUGGGGGCAAAAAAAAAAAAACUCGUGAGCUUCCGAAGAACGUGACCCUGUAUAUUAUUCUUCUCGUAAAUAAAAAAGGAAAAAUAUUUUCAUAAAAAUAAAAAAAAGAAUUAUUCGUAUUGCGCUAGUAUAUGACUCUAUUCUUUUGGGCCCUCUGCCUGCAGCUGGUGAUGUAUGCAGCCCUGAAUGAUAGCGUCCUGCUCGCUGCUAAGGGCCCGUUUGGAUUAGAUCAUGUUUGAUUGAGAUGGAUUUUAAGAAUUCAAAAUCUAAAAUUCAGGAAGCUUUAAACGGGUCAGAUUUUAGCCUGGAUUCUAGAAGUCAGAUCUCGGAUUCGGAGAAUCCCAUAAUCUGCUGAACGUUACUUCUGAUAGAUUUUGCAUAUGUAUUUUAUGAUUUUGCCCCUUAUCCUUCCGGAAAAUGAUCCAAUCCCCACUCUUCCCCUUCCUUCCCCUUCCUUCCCGCACAACCAACCUGCUUUUAAUCCGCUUCUAUCGCAAGAUAGGUACGAAUCACUGAGGUCCAAUCCCAAGACCACAGCUGCAGCUCGAUUUCCCUCACGCUGCCACCCCUCUCUCUCCAAACUCGAUCUCUCUCUGCUCCCAAUCGGCAAGCACACCCAACGCGCACGGACAGCUCCGGCGCGUGCGGAUUGGGAUCCCGCGGAGAUGUGGCCGCCAUCGAUGGAGCUUCAUGGCCGGUGGUAGUGGAGCUAGCGGGAGGAAGCUCAAAUUGACGACAAGGCCCCUCCAGCUGCGGCCACGCCAUUCUGGUUGGCCUCCUCCGAUGGUGGGAGCGCGGCGGCGGUCGGCGCUGGGCCCAAGAGAAGGAGAGGAGAGAGUUGUGGGAGGGCAAAAAGGUAAUUUGCUGUAUAUCAAAUCACUUUUAAUCCGCUUUAGCUACUGGGAGUGCUAUGCCAGUUUCAUGGGUAUUUAAUCUCAUGUCACAUCAGCAAAAACUGCUGAUUUGAUAGGCUAUUUACAAGGAGGGUGAAGAGGGGAGUUUCAUCUCAUGAAACCCACUUGACACACACAGUUACCAAGUCCCAUGAAACCUAAUGAAACUUGCACUGAGCAUGUUAUAGUUUCAUGGCAUGACACAUUUGGUCAUAGGAUAACGCAAAAAUUAAAUUAGGCUAUCUAUGAAACCGUGCAAUGAAACUAUGCACCGAGGAUGACAAUUUCAUUUCAUUAAAAAGUUGACAUAGCACUCUUAGUAACUUAUGCGAUGAACCUUAAUCGUUAGCUCGAGGUGGGCUAAAAAUUAGCUGCACUUUUAGCCAUCAGUUGUCAUUCUGACUUUCUUGAAGAGUCAAAUCAUUUUAUGUUUGAUCAAAAUUAUAGAGAGGAUUACAAAGGUCUAUGGCACCGAAUAGAUAUACUAUGAAAAUAUAUUUAAUGGAAAAUAUAUUAGUAUUUAUUUGGUAUCAUGAAGGUUAGUACUUCAUUGUAUAAAUUUGAUCAAACCUAGUUAAAUUGAGAUGCUUUGACUCUCCAAGAAAAUUGGAAUGACCUGUAAUUUGGAACGGAUCUUCAAAUAGGUCCUAAAAACGACGGCGAUAGUAAUGCCAUUCCCCGUGCACCUCACGCCGCCGUCUACUAGCGCCGUCGUGGUGGCAGCCGCCGUCGGGGCUGUGCUCGCCGCCGUCGCGCUCCGCCGCUACUAGGGAUGGCAAUCGGGCAGAUCUAGACCCGAGACCCAUAGAUUUCAGACCCGACGGGAGCGGUAGCAGGUCCGGAAUUUCCUCCGCGGGUCUCGAGUUCGAGGACCCGACACACGGGGCGGAUUUAUAGAUCCGCCGCGGAUGACCCACGGACCGAAGUAUGCAUUUCGCUCAAAAACUAUCCUGCCCAACAACAACCUAUAUAUAAUCUCCGUUCACACAGUCCGUCUCCCACUCUCCCGUCUCCCGGCCAGUGCGCCGCACGCCAGCACCCCGGCCCCAAAUCCCCAUCGCCCCCUCGCCUGCGCCGCCGCCGGCCGCCCGCGGCGCCGCCGGCCAUCCACUUCCCGCCCUCGGCCAUCCGCCUCGGUGACCAUGUCCGCUCUCAGCAGCUGCAGCAGCGCCGCCGGAACCGCCACCACGCUUGUGGCGUAUGGCAGGUCGCCGCAGGACCAGGAGCUCCUGGCCUUCGCGGCCGGUUCCGUCGCCCUGGGGGAGGGCGAGUCGGCCGGGGAGUUCGCCGUCGCGCUGUCCUAUGAGGGCGCGGGGUUCGACGCGGGCGCGUACAUGGGGGCGCUCCGGGCGCGGCUGUUCGGGAGGUGGAUGCUCUGGUCACCGAGGAUUGGCUCCACGCAGGACCUCAUCGCACAGUGAGUGCAAAUUUUUGAUUCGCUGACUGGGGAUUGGGCUUUCCCCUGUUCUUAUUGUACUUUGCCUCGGCGUCUGCUCUUGUUUGCAGGAACUUCGCAAAGCUGCCGGUGGGCGUUGUCUGCGUUGCUGACGUGCAGUUCAAAGGGAGAGGUGUGUGUGAUAGUGAAAUUACUGGUUGUUAUUCCCGUUGUUGUUCUAUUCGUGAUGAAUCUGUAGCUUUGGUUAGCAAGCUCUUGAGUUUUAGGCUGAUUGACGCUUUUUUAUUCUGCAUCUGAUAUGAUUGGUUAGAUUGACGAGUCGACACUAACUGUUAUCUGCUGCGUAUUCUCUAUGAUUACUUGUUAGGGGAAAAAACAGUCUGAGUGAACAAAUAUAGAACCUGUUUGUAGCUUGACACGUCUUUUAUCAAAAGAUUGAAUCUGAUUGUAGAUUGAUUCCUCUUGCAAUUAUCAAAAUUUGUUAGGCUAUAUGUAUCCAAGACUAAAGCUGCGCAUCAUAGCAUUUCGAUGUUUUCUAUCUUUCUAGUUACAUAAUUAUAUUAUACACCUUGCAGCAUAGUGAGAUAAAUAAUUUAAUCUUCCUUCACAAAUUGUGCAGGACGUUCGAAAAAUGUGUGGGAAUCACCACCAGGUUGUCUCAUGUUCUCGUUCACAUCACGGAUGCAGGAUGCACGGAAGUUGCCCCUUAUGCAAUAUGUUGUCUGUCUUUCUAUGACCGAAGCCAUCAAGGAACUAUGCCGUGCUAAGGUUAAUUUAUAAUUCAGUGCAGUCAUGUUUGCUGCUCAUUGAUUUGCAUCAUUUUAUUUAGGCUAACUACUUCUAUUGGCACCUGACGCUGUGGUUGUGAUAAAACUCAGGGACUGCCAGAACUUGAUGUAAGGAUAAAGUGGCCUAAUGAUCUCUAUCUGAAAGGAUUAAAAGUUGGCGGCAUUCUAUGUACCUCGUCUUAUGAACCAAAAGUCUACAAUAUCUGUACUGGUAAACAUGCAUUUCCAAUGUUGCUGGUUCUAAUAAUUUAAGAUAUAUUUUUACAAGCAUGGAAUUCCUUUUAUUUUAAUCAGGUAUUGGUUUAAAUGUUGACAAUGAGAAGCCUACCACAUGCUUGAAUGCUGCACUUCAAGAAGCAAAUGUUAUAUCACCCAGAUUGAAACGAGAAGACAUACUGGCAUACUUCUUCAAUAAAUUCGAAAAUCUUUUUGAGAUCUUCUCGAAUCAAGGUAAUUGUCGUCGAUGUAUAUGCAUAGAUGGUUCUUUUUCUAAUCACAACGGAUUUGAUGAUAAACUGAUUUUGCCAUAGAGAUUGAUUAUUUUCCUAUGACUCAUUUAAGUGCUGGCAAAACAUUUUUCAAACUUAACUGCAAUUUCAUUUUUUGUCUUGGUAAAGUUGUGUGCUUAACACUCAAAUUCCACUGCAGGAUUUCAGGCUCUUGAGGAGCAAUACUAUAACUCAUGGCUCCAUAGGUAUGGGCUGUAAUCUCAAUACCUGUUCAUUGGACCUUAUUACAGAAUAGUAGGGGCAAGAACACCAAAAAACUUAAAAACCUAUAAGAUUUUGCCCUGAACUAGGUGUAAUAUCACUUGAAUUUUAAGCGUGCUUUUAAGUGCUGAUUGUAAACAUCUAAUACAGUGCUUGCAAGUUAAUAUUAUGUAUCUUUGGUAUUUGCCAUUUCAUCUGAAUGAGAUUUGAACUUUUUAUUGUUAUGUAGUGGCCAGAGAGUUGUCGUCCAAGAUGCACAUGAAGGCCAGUCUGUAGACAGUGUCGUCACUAUCCAGGUUAGCACAAACAGAAGCAUGAUGACCUAAUAUCAAUUUCCCCUUCUCUAACAGUACUAAUACUUUUCAGGGUUUAACACCAACUGGGUACUUGUAUGCUAUUGGUGAGGAUGGCAAAAGCUAUGAGUUGCACCCAGAUGGCAACAGGUACUGUCCAUCAGUCCCUUUUUGCUCAUUACAUAUCAUGAUAUCAAUAUGAUAUUUGUCAUGUAUAUCACUAUUCAGUGUCUCUACCGUGUUCUGUAUGCAUCUCAUCCCAUAUAUGUCCCAACAUGUAAUAUCACAUAGUCUAUCAGAUUAUCACACACAUUCUUUUUUUGUCAAUCAUUUGAUACAGUACUUUGCGUUUGCAGUUUUGAUUUCUUUACUGGAUUGGUGAGGAGAAAGAUCGAAGCUUAGGACACCAAUACAAUACAUAGAUAGGUUCAACAAAUUUGUACAAAUGAUAGAUGUUUAAGUAUGGAAUGAGAACAUGUAAGCAUCAGCGCUGCCACCUGCAUCCCUUUGUGUGCUUCAAACUUUUAGUAUAUAAGGUAUAACUAUAUAUUGAUUAUUUUCUAUUUUAAAACAUUGUGACAAACUUUUAGUUUCAUAGUUAUACAAACCAAAUGCUUAAUUAAAUUUAAAAUAUCAGCUGCUAAUAUAUACUUACGGAUAUCAAAUUUACUUUCAUCUCAACCAUAUCUAAAUAAGCACUAAUUAUCUGACAUAGAUUUGCAAAAAUGGUGCAGAGGCAUAAGCUAAUAUAUAUACACGCAUACUCGUGCUCUAUUAUAUAAUAAGACAAUUUAGUACAAUAUUUGGUUAGUUGUUUUUAGGAAAAAGUCCAUUUUACUCCCCUCAUCUAUAUACUUUGUCUGCUUAACCCCUCGAACGAAAUUUAGGAUCACUUUACUCCUCGAACUAUUUCAUUUGGUCUAAUUUACCUCCUAAUUAGAUUUCUCUUUUUUGUUUCUUCAUGUAUGAAUUGAAUUUUGAGUUCAAAUUUUGUGAGGAGAUGGAAAACAUGAUGCCUUAUGUUAAAAAAUUAUAAUAAGAAUUUUCACAAUUAUUUUCAUAGGUUAAGAAUAUUUAAUACGAAAUUGAUCUUAGAUGUACAAAAUUGUAUAAAAGUAAUCAUAAAAAAUUGCUAAUGUAUUUUUCUAAUGUAGAGCAUCAUGUUAUAAGUCAAUUGGCAAAAAUCUGAAAUUAAAACUAAACUUGUACGCGAAGAAAUAAAAAAAGAGAAAUCUAAUUAGGGGUAUAUUGGAUCAAAUGAAAUAGUUCGAGGGAGUAAAGUGAGGCUAAAUUUUGCUUAGAGGGUUAAGUGGAUAAAGUAAAUGGAUGAUGGAAGUAAAAUGGACUUUUUGCUAUUUUUAUUCGGCCCAUUCCUCUAAUAUUUUCACGCAAUUGUUAUACUAUCCUAAAUGAAUUAAUAUCUCUGUUUACACUUUGCUUUUGAAAAAAAUCUAUUAUCACAUUAACUUCAAUUUUUAGUAUUGCACAUAGCAUAAUGUUCGCAUGCGGGCUAUGAGUGCCAACGAACCAGAAUACUCGAUCAAUAGUCUUAGGCUCAUAGCCCAUGUCACCAGCGAAGGACGGAGCAGAUAACCAGUUACGAGUACUGAAUAUCAGCAAGAUCUGAGCACUUUUUAUUAGCUACAUUUGUUUACUGGUCUACGUAUAUUGUUUACUCAUAAGCCAAUCAGCGGGGCCUUCCUAGCGGCGGGGUCUUGGCGGCCGUGCGGUGCACCGUGUGGUGCGGGCCGUCAAACUCGACACCGAAUGGCUCAAUCAUGCCAUCUAGAAGCUCAUCAAUCCAGUCCAUGAGGGCCUGGUGUUCCUGGACCAUAGCCUGGAGCUACCACACCCUGGUGGGCAGUUUUGGAGACAAGAAGACAGUGAGCCAUUCAGCACACGAAUCAAACAUACUCCAACUGAACUGGACAAUGGCAUCGCAACGCAAUUAAGUAUACUAGUCCAUCAACACGGACUAAUGUUUUUAAAAACUAUUGUAUUUAAAAAUUACUUAGAAACUAAACUCCUAACUGAUAAUUAAAAUUAUUUACCUACUACUCUCUUAUUUUUUUCAAUACUUUAACAUAAUACUCAUAUAGAUGUGUACUUAUCUUUGUCCAGUUAUGAUUGAUUUUUAAUUAGUAAUUACUCCAUACAUUUUUUCAUCCACAUUCACACUUUUUCAUUUUGUAUCGUACCUCCACACAUUGUGUUUAGCAUAAAAAUCAAUAUUUUACGUCACUUCCUCACAUACAUGUAUAAAUGGUUUACAUGAUGAUGCCCAUCAUGCGUAUAUACCUUAAUUUAUUCUUUCUAUAUCAUUAGUGAUAUAAAUAGGUAAUUAAAUUAGAAUCAUAUAUUAGUUUAGUUUCGAACAUUUCUGUAUGAUGCAUAUGAAGAAAAAUAGAUUAAGAUUUAGGUGUUUACUUUAGGUUACUUUUUAAUAAUGAUAUACAUGGGUAGCUUAGAUACAAAUUUAGAUAUAAUAGACCAAUGGGUAUGAUUAUUAGAGUUUAGAGGAUUGAUGUUUGAUGUUUCUAAUUUCUAUGAGAAUUUCUAGGAUUUGAAUUUUUUUCCUAGCAUGUCUCGUGAGAAGAGCCUCCAGUGGGAAAAAAAUAAGGCCACACUACUACAAAACUGUUACCUUGUGGUACCUCUCAUUUGUUAAAUAUUCGAACAUGAUACUUAUAUAGAUAUAUACUUAUUAUUCUCAUCCGAUUGUGAUAGAUUUUAGUUAGUAAUUUUUCAUCCACAUUUAUAAUCUUGAACUUUUCACUUUGCAACACACGUAUGCGCUUGAAUUUGUUUCAUGGACCCUAAGUUUGAGCUAUAAUUUAAGCAUAGAAAUCCAUAUUCUCAGCACUUCCUCUAUAUCUUUAUAAAUGGUGACACACAUCAUGCUAUAAACCUUAAUUAUCAUAUCAUAUAUUAUUAUAGCAUAUAUCAAUAGGGUAAGAAAUAGAUGAUUUAGAAUUAUAUAUUUUAUAUAUUUUUAAUUAAGGUGAUUUGGAUUAGAAUUUAAGGUUAUGUUAUUUUUAAUAAAGAGCGUAUGGGAUGCAAAUUUAAGGGUUGCUUUAAGUUACUUUUUAAGUAUUAGUUAUGGGCAACUUAGUUGCAAAUUUAGGGCGUUAUUUUAAAUUAUUUUUACAAUGGCAUAAGUGGGUAAUUUUGAUGAAGAUUAGGAGUUAUUAGUUUAUUUAUAUAAUGUCAGAGGUGGGUAAUUUAGAUAUAGAUGUAGAAGAUUACUUUAAGCUAUUUUUCAAAUAGCAUAGGUGGGUAAUUUUUUAGAAAACACAAUAGAUCCGAUGGCUAUGAUGAUUUUAGUCUACCGAUUGAUGGUUAGAUAUUUUUACUUUUUUUAUAGAAUCUCUAGGAUUUCUCUAUUUUUCCUCGAGUGUCCAUCUAGGGUUCUAGGUGGCUUCACCUGGAGAGUCUUCAGGAGGAUUGUUUCCCAUCUAAGCAACCUCCACAAAGAUGGGAAACUUUCCAAAUUGACAACUUUCCACGUAAAGGCAAACGAUUUGUCUUUGAAAUUGUUUCGGACGAGAAAUCCCCAAAAGAUCUGGAUUUUUUCUGAAUUGUUUGGGAAAAGAAACCCAAAAAACCUGGGCCUUUUCAGGCUGAUGAACAGGAGAUCGAGGUUCUUAAAACAAGAAAGAAAAGGCGGCAAUUGGCUUUGGGGAAAGCAACGAAAACGAACUGAGCCAAAACGGAUCGCUCUCGUUGGCACACAACGUGCUAUCUUCCGAAGUUAAGCAAGACUUGUUCGAAAAUCCAAGCGCACCCAAAAUUGAACCCGACGGAUGAUUUUUUGUUUUAGGGAAUGUUUAGUUCUCUCAAAAUUCCCAACUUUGAUACUAUGGAAAAAGAAGAUUCCCCAUCACAUCAAACUUGCGGUAUAUGUAUGGAGUACUAAAUGUAGACGAAAUUAAAAACUAAUUGCACAGUUUUGUUGUACUUUGCGAGACGAAUCUUUUGAGCCUAAUUAGUCAAUAUUUGGAUAAUAAUUCAUAAAUACAAACGAAACGCUAUAGUGUGAUACAGUGCUAUAACAGUAAUUUUACACCUCCAAAUUUUAGGUAACUAAACGAGACCGUGGGCGCAGAACAACCUCAAAUCUUCCAAAAAAAAAAAAUCUGCGCACGACUGUAUGUUGCAUACGCGACAGUUAAUAUUCUGUCGCGUGGGGUGGGAGGGUGGAGACCACGCGGGGAGUCACGGCCCAAUAAAUUUCUGAUAGCCCACCAGCGCUAGCAGGGUUUGCUCCAGGGUAAUGAUUGUUGUCCUACGCGUGCUUCGGUGCUUUUUCACUCGCGCCCAUCGCGAUUCGUGCGUGACCCGAGAGGAAUUCAGCACACAUCAGUUUUUUCCGUUUCCUUUUUUUCCCUUCCGUGUAUUUUUUUACCUUCUGUUCGUUUCGUUCUUUUUUUAUCGUCUUUUUUUUUCCUUCCGUUAUUUCUUAUUUCCCACCGUUUCUCCUUUUUCCGGAUUUGUUGUUUAUUUUUUCUUCCGUCCGUUUUCUUCUUUUUUCUCCUUCUGUUACUUUUCAACGUGAUAUUUCCUUACGUUUCUUUUUUCUUUUCCAUUUUUUCUUUAUUGUUUGAUAGUGACUCUAUCUUUUUUUUUCUUGCCAGGGUAGGUCAUUCUAUAUUCUAAUUAGUUCUAUUAAUCUUUUUUAUUUUAUUAUGUAGAGACUUAUUGAUAAAAAAAUCAUAUGUUUUGUCACUGUAACUCUGGAAGGUUUUUCAUUUUUAUGUUCUCUUCUUUCUUUAAUCUCUUAGUUUAUUUGGUUUUCCUCUAAUUUUCUAUCUAAUGUAUUUUUCUUUUAUUUCUUAUUCUAUUCUUUUAUUUUUCUUUUAUUUUUGUUCGAGAACUUUGUAUAAUUUGUUCCGUGCAUUUAUAUAAUUUGUUCGAUGCAUACAAUUGUUUGUUCAAUUUGUUCGUCACAUGUACAUAUUUUGUUUGUCUUCAAGAGAUAAUUUGUUCGCUUUUCAAUAGUAUUGUUAGUCAUCUGUGCAUCUUUGUUCUUCUCCAAGAAUAAUUUGUUCGUUUUUGCAGAAUAAGUUAUUUGGCGAUGUUGACUUAUUUGUUCGCAAUGUUCAACCUUUUGUUUGCAGUAUAUUAUUAUUUCUUCAUCAUGUUUAAUAUUUUGUUCCUGGUGUCGAUGCAUGUGUUCGCAGUGGUCAAAAUUAAUUAUCCUGUAUUUGAAAAAAGUGAUUUUUAAAAUAUUAUCAAAAUAUAGUUGAGUGUGGUCUUAUUUUGAAGAUCUUAUUAUAACAAACACAAUGGUGAAAUCGAAAUUUAAUUUGGAUGCUCCGUAUAUGAUUUAUAACUUUUUCUACUUUCGAAUUUGCAUGCAUACGUGUGAUGUCAUCAAUUUUUAUCCUUUAUGCAUGCAUGCAGUCUCUCCUUCGCUCUCAUCUUAAAUGGUGAACGUUUCAACGUAUCACUGUAUGUACAAAUAGCCUAAAUAACUAAGUUGACAUGUGCAACCCACAUAUACUCCUUCAGGUGGUGAUGAUUGCAGAUCUAUCGCCUUCAAUCUGGGCUUUUAACCGCACCCAAAAAAUUUGGGCUUUUAACUGCUCCACCGCAAUCGCGCAGCCCACAACGAGAGCAAGAGGUCCCAGAAUGAAAACAGAUAAAAAAGAAAGAACGAACACCACUCGAUGUCUGCCUGGUUUUAUUUAUCGCGACUUGCUGAGUACUACGUGCGUGCACGUGAGAGAGAUGGGGUGGAGAGGGUUGGCGACGUGAAGUACUCACCCCUGGGAGGCUCGGAACAUGGUGUUCUCCACCCGGGCCCGGGGCUGCUGGGUCCACUAUGGUCGGGGAUGCAGACCAGAUGCGCAGGGUGGACCGGCCAAAACCCUUGCCGCCGCCGCUGCCAAAGCAGGUGCAAUGAAAAAGCGACUAGUGCCAGGAGAGAGGAGGAGGGGAGGGAACAAAAUGGGGGUGUCCGUGAACACUCGCUCGUUGGAGUGGGAAGGUAGCACCAUCCAUAUGAAUUGGGACUUCGUCAUGAUUCGUGCGGGGCACCAAGCCACUUGCUGAUACUGCCUAGUUUAAUAAUACAAUACUACAGGUGUACGUAUUUCACCACGGUCCUUCUUCUUCAGUUCUUUGAGUUGAGUUGAGUAGUCAAUAUGAGCGUUAAUGGAGAGAUGUGCCUAGAGGUGGGACUUGGGCCGUCUCGUGCCUAGCCCUCCCGUGCUUCGUGCCGUCUCGUGCCUAGACUUCUAGGCACUUUGUGCAAUUGAUUUUUAUUGAUUUUCAAUUUACCCGCCCCCGCCAGAUGUUGCAAGUGCGUUUGAAUUCAUAUAAAGAUGGAAGUUGAAGGCUCAGGCACCAGUAAUUAACUAGAUGAUCCAUGCAUAUGGCUGCUAAUUGAGCUUAUUUGUGUGGCUGAAAUUUCUCGUGCUUAAUCAACACUAUAUAUUUGGAAAAAUAUGCCACUAACCUGUCAUGUAAACCUUUCCGCAGGAUGAACCAUUGAUCUUGACUGGCCCAAAACGAGGACUUGUAUUGCUGGAUAAUAAUUAUGUUGAGACUGAUCUGAAGAUCAAGGAUCGUCAAGGGCGGGACACAGAAUUCAGUAAAGGAGUCAUAACAAUAUGGAGAAAUGUGAGGUUGAAAGAAAGAAUCUUGCUACCAGGUUCAGUAUUGUGGAUUUAUUGUAUGCUAUUGUCAUAGGUGCGGUGGAGGCAACUAUUGGCAUUAGAGUUUUGCAGGGAAAAUUUGAUGGAACAAUCUCUGCCCACACCACCAGCAUUAUGCUUUAUGAUAGCAAAGUGGCUGGUACCAGGACUGCUGAUGUAGGAGUUAUCCAGCUGACUCGACGUGUUGUAUCUAUCUAUGUGAAGGAUAUGCUGAUAAUCGAAGCAAAGACUGGUGAUGGUAAAUCUGUACGGAGAGUUGAUUUUGCUCCAAGGGGAAACAAUGGGAGAUGAAGAUACGAUGGUGCCACUAAGAUGCGUGUGAUGGUUGCUUGGUCGAUCAUGGACCCCUGACUGAGACUUUGGAACGGUUUGUUAAGCAUCAUUGGCAGAUGUGUACGCUUUGGUGUAGCCACAUCUGAUCCUGUGAUGCGGUUACAAGUUAUAAGUCUAGACAAGUAAUAAUGUGUGUAAAUUACCGUGUUGAUCUUGUUAGGGCAGUGCCAAUGGGAUAUUGAUGAUAGUUUCUAUCCCUCUUAAUUAUCAUGCCAACUAAGCAAUUUGCUGAUGUGGCAGUGGAUUUAUUAUGGAGAGAGAGAAACCAUUUCCUAGAGAGGAAACCAAGUCCUCACGAGCACCGAUGGACCAAGAAACUAGCGAAUCUGCAUUGGGGAGACCCAAGUAGUUUCUUCUUGCUUACCGCCGGAUCCUUUGUGCUUGCACUGCUGCUACCCGUCACUCGAGCUCCUUUACAUGAUGCACAGAGGAUCCGGUACUAGAAGGGAGAAUGGUUGGUUGGAUUUUUGUUUAAACUCUAGAUAAAAAAGUUGCAUUGUGAAGGAUGAUUUCUUGAUACAAUAUCCUAGACUAUGGAAACUAAAUUGGUUUCUCCCAUUGGGAGUGCCCUUAUGUUGAACUAUUGUCUAACAUGCUAGGCUUUUUAUUGCAAUACCGUGUUAAACUUAUCCUGUGCAUUGUUUGUUGUGUUGUAUGCUCUUAACUGUUCCGGUUUGUUUGAUGACUGCUGUGGGCUGUUUGUAUCAUUUGUCACUGUUUUCUUCGAGUUAUCUCCAAUCUGUCGACACGGUUUGGUUUUCCUUUCUGUGUUUUCGAAGAAGAAAUUUCAGUAUUUACCCAAACAACAUUCACCAUUUAUUCCAUAUUUAUUGGAAGGGUAUUCUUGUGCACUAGAAAAUACAUUUGGAAGGAGAAAUUUAUGCCAUGGGAAGUGUAUUCUUCGUAUGUUCAGGGUAUACUAGUUCAGGAUAUAAUUUUUGCCAUUUGGACGGGCUGUGUUUACUAUGGUGGUAGCCUUCCACCGCUUGUAGUGUUCUGGUGGCGUUCUUGCUGCAUGGAUGUUUCCUCGGUUGCUGGUCUGCUUCAGUGUUGCUUAUCCUUCUUCACUAUCCAUCUCUACUUAAAUGGCAAGCCAUUGCAAUCUUCGUCCAGCUGGGUUGAUCCUAAGGAUUCCUGGGCCUGCUGUUUGGCUUCCAGCAGGGACUUCUCAUGCUCCUCAACACACCUGGACAGCUCUGAGAAGUUGCCCUUGCCGAACCCGCUGCAGCCGCUCUUCUGGUACUCUUGCGGCAUCCUUCUGCAGGCACCCGACCCUUUGGAUUACCUCCACCCGAUCCUUGGAUUACCUCCAAGAAGAACAUUAACCUGAAUCAAACAUAUAGCCAACCCAAUUACAUUUGGAAUUCAAUCGCAUGGAGCAAACACCGAUCGAUCCUGCAAGCAUGCAUCGGGCAACAAGAGGAGCAGGGGGGAAGGUGACGUUUUUACCUGUCCCCUGCUGGCUUGGUGAAGAUCUGGAGGAGCACCCCCAGCUCCUGGCAGUCCCUGAUCUGCGCCUCCGAGAGCACGUCGCCGGCGCGGCGCCGGACACCGUCAUAGUAGUUGGGUGGCGGCGGCGCCAAGAACACGAACCCACCCAUGGGCCAUGGCGGAGCGCGCCCGCAUCUCCCUCAGCGCAGCAUGUCGUAGCUGGCCAUGGCGAUGUGCUGCACGUCCGGGCCGCCGUGCGGCCGUGGUGGUCCAGGAACGUCUGUACCUGGCUUCGGCGCCUCAAGAAUGCAUGUGAGACCCUGGUGGACCAUAGAGUCUAGACCCUGGUGGACCAUAGAGUCUUCGAGUGAUCUCCAAUCUGUCGACACGGAUUGUUUUUUCUUUCUGUGUUCUUGAGGAAGAAGUUUCAGAAUUUACCCAAACAAAAUUCACCAUUCAUUCCAUUUAUAUGGGAAGGGUGUUCUUGUCUGCACUAGAAAAUACAUUUGGAAGGAGAAAUUUUGCCAUGGGUAGUGUAUUCUCCGCAAUAAUUUCAGGACAUGUUGGUCAGCUUUGGAAGGGCUAUGUUUAAGGUACUGGUAGCCCUUCCACCACUUGCAGUGUUCUGGUGGGCGUGCCUGCUGUAUGGUUCCCUGUUUGCUGAUAUGCUUCGCUGUCCAUCUCUGCUUGAGUUGCAUGCCAUUGGCUCGAUGAAGAGCAGCAACCUUUGAAUUAUGCAGGUCGUCGUGAGUAGCGUGCAAGCUUAUUCAUGCAGAAAUUAAGGGCAUGUUUGGAAUUGCUCCACUUCAAAAAAAAAAUAACUCCGCUCCACCAACUCCACCUUUUUUAGCUCCACUUCACCAACUCCAAGAAAAUAGGGAGCUAUGUACGUGUUUGGCUAUUGGAUGCAAAUCCAGCUCUAGGAAUCGUAGGAACUAGUGGGAAUAGUCACUUAAGGGCAGAGUGUUUUUUCCCCGGGUUCCAGUCAAUUAGGAUUCAGGGCACCGAGAUGGUUGAUGGGAUUGGAUGACUCGCUCCAGAUGCUUGCACCAAAUGAAAAUUACAAAAUCAACCGGACAUCAUUGUUCCAAUAAAAAUUUAAUAUACCUAAUAUGUGGCACCAAAUGAAAUUACAAAAUCAACCACACCAACAUUAACUAGUUCCAAGCAAGAGAAAGGGCGGUGGCCAACUCAUCAUGAAAUACAUCCAUAGCUGGAGUAUUGGCAUUCGAAGUAGACCGGUCGGACGCAAGGGAGAAAUUGCAUAUUUGUUAUACCUUUUCGGGAUAGUAGAUAUGUAAUUAGGAUUACGAUCAAAGUCAAUGUCUUCACAUCCAUCAUGUUCACGGAUAUAAUUGUGAAGGACAUAGUAGCCACAACAAUCAUGUUUUGCUUGUACAUGGGGUACGGUGGUAUUUUGUAGAGAAUUUUCCACUUCAUUUUUAAUAGUCCAAACGAUCGCUCAAUAGCAUUGCGAAUAGAUGAGUGAACACGAUUGAACUUUUCCGCGUGAGUCUUUGGUUCCAUACCACUAUGCCAUAGCCGACACUUGCGUCUUCACCACCAAGAACGACCUCUUCAAGGUCAGGGUCAGCCCCGGCUAGGGUGUGGCUACCCCUGCCCAGGCCACGAUCACCUUUGGACGUGCCACGGCCGCCCGCGCCCAGGACAUGGCCGCACCCGACCAGGCCUCCGGCCAGGGCUUCUUCGAGGUCGGCUCAGCGUCGGCCUGGGCACGGCCGCCCCCGACCAGGCCUCCGGCCAGGGCUUGCCUCUUCGAGGUCAGGCUCAACGCCGACUAGGGGCUAGUUGUUGCCUGCCUGGGCACGGCCGCCACCGGCCAAGCCUUGGCCACCCGCCCCUAGGCCACGGCCGCCCGCCCCCAGGACACAGCCACCCCCAGCCAGGCCUUCGGCCUCUUCGAGGUCAGGCUUAGUGCCGGCCAUGGGCUCUCUGCUGCCGGCCUGGGCACGACCGCCACAAGCCAGGCCGCCGGCUAGGGUGUGCUCCAGGCCCAAAUCAGUACUGGCCAGGGGGUGGAUGCCGUCGGUCAGGCCGCGCCUGCCCAUGGGCGCCGGCGGGUGGAAUGGAGUUCGGCCGGAGGAAGGGGAGAUGGUGGCGGUGGCGGCGGAGGCAGAGGCGUCACGAGGGAGGGGGCGGCGGCAGAACAGGAGGCAUCGCGAAGGAGGAGGCGGUGGCGGAAUAGGAAGCGUCGCGAGGGAGGGCUCUUUUUUUUCUCGAAGCGGUAUGUGUAAACAGUGAUAUUGGUGGGUAAUUUCCACCCAACUUCAAAAUAAGGUAUGAAACUAGUUUUUUGGGAGCACCCUUUGCGGAGCUCCAGAAAAACCUUAGAGUUUCCCCCCAGAUCCACCUUUUUCUGAAGUUGGUAUAGUUGGAGCUGGAGGUGUUUGGCAAGAUGAUUUUAGAGCCGAGCUACUAAACCUGGAGCUGAGCAUUCCCAAACAUGCCCUAAACCCUUUUAUUGCUACCCUUUGGUCUUAUAUUCUUCGGAGAGCGAGUGGCUGAGCGAGGUUUCAUCUAGAGGCUGCCUGCACUGCACUGCAUGCACACGUGCAUGGGAUUCACAUUCACAAGAUGGCACGCAUCAGCCCCGUUUGGAUUGAGAUGGAUUUUAAGAAUCCAAAAUCUGGAACUCAGGAAGCCUCUAAACCGGGCAGAUUUUCGCCUAGAUUCCAUCAGAGAAUCCUAGAAUCCGUUGAAACGUUUCUUCUGAUAGCUUCUGCGUAUGUAUUUUACGAUUUUACCCCUUAUCCUUCCAGAAAAUGACCCAAUCCCUACUCUUCCCCUUCCUUCUCGCACAGCCGAUCUGCUCUCGUUUCCCGUCCCCUUCCACAUUGCUCGCAAGAUUCGGCCGCCACAGCCUCCCUCCCAUCUUUCCCCAUCGAGCCCACGACCUUUGCGCCACCUCUUGCCAUCAGGCCCCGUCCCCGUACCACACCUCACCCGUUUCCACGCCCAUACUCGCCGCCUGCCUACAGUCACUGCCCGCCAGAUCUGAGUGACGGUUGGUCGCCGACGUCGGUUCCGGCCAAGAGCAGCAGGCGCAGCUGCCAUCUGUAGAUGGAGUCGCAAGGGGACCUCGACGACAACGAGUUCUUUUCAGACUCCAAAGCUGCUCCGACGAAUUUUGGGGUCGACUUCUUCAGCCAGCCCCCGAGCUUUCCCCUUGCGGCUUCCUCCUCUAGCGGUCGUGGCGUAGGACGUCAUCAUGUAGCAAGUGGAUUGGAGGGUCUGGACCUCAAUUCGGAGGUCGUGGACUUCACCACCAACGUGUCGUACUUGGACCUUCUACGCUCAUCGCGCGGCUGGAUUGGUUGGGGACGGCGACCUCCUGGGUGGCGUUGGGCAUGGCGCUGGCCAUGGCGCGAGCCGUGUGUUGGCGUGGCGCCGGCCGUGGCGCCAGCCAUGCCGCUAGUGUGGACGUGGUGCUGGUCGUGCUGUAGCAGUGCCAAUCGGAGAAGCAUCUGACCAGGAUGUCGGCAUCCCUUGUUGGCCAGCCGGAGGUGCACGAGGACAUGCCCGUGCUGCACCGACUCGUCGUCCUAGCACCAUUGCAUCGUGUCAAUUCCUUCCACCACGUCUUGCUGGAGGACGAAGCAAUGGCACAACUCCUAGUGUGGCUGAUGAUGCCUUCGAUGGUGGUCUCCAGAAGCCUAGCACAUCUACAUGGAGCCUGAACCCCUACAAUGAAGAGGCUGACGAUCUUCAGGAUAGAUGCAUCGGUAUAACUAUUUGACUCCACAUGAUUAUUCACUUUUUACUCCUACUCGUUUAAUUUGACAUUGCUAUGAUUGUUUAAUUUGACCAAACUAUGUUAACCAAUUCCGUACUCUGUGUCUGUAUGUCUAUGUGUUGUGUGUGUGCAGCUACUAACGUUACAUGAAUGUCUGAAUAUUUUGUAGUAACCUGACAUGCUAUUUGAUAUACUGUAUUUUUUUUUGCUUUCACGUGGCUAUGAUUGUUUAAUUUGAGCAAGUUAUACUAACCAAACUAUGAUUGUUUAAUUUGAGCAAGUUAUACUAACCAAACUAUGAUUGUUUAAUUUGAGCAAGUUAUACUAACCAAACUAUGAUUGUAGACUUAAGAGAAGAGAAAGUAGGCGGAAGCCUAGGAGGGCCAACCGAGUGAAGCUCUUUCUUUUUUUUGGCCGUGCCGUGAAGUAACCAAACGAGUACUCCAAUCAGAGUAAUGGCCAUAUGCUUAACUUUCUCUGCUUUCAGAUGCAGUAAUGGUCAUGCAAGCUAUAUUAAUCUUACAUGCUAUUUGAUAUACAUUAUGGCUAUGAGAAUAUGUUACUACUACUAGCCAUUUAAUCUCUUUUAAUUGCGUACAUUACCUGUCCACUUGCAGUUGCUGUUAGAUAUAGUACAAUUCUAUAGUGUUCAUUUUUUUUCACUUGUCCCAUCAUAUUUCUGCUUGUACACUAGAGCGACGAUUUAUUUGACAAGAUGAUUGGGCCAAUAGCGCCAACAAUGCUGCAUUCUAUGAGCAUAUGUAUUAAGACGGCACCUUAAAUCAGUCCUCUCGAAUGCGUAGUGUAUGCCUGUGUGCAGUGUGCAUGUGCAGCUACUAACCUUAGAUGCAUCUCUGAAUAUUUUUUCAUUGACACAUGAGAUAUGUUACUACAUAUUCCUUUCUAUGUGCUGAAUGAUGUUUGAUAUACUGUAUUUUUAUCCACUUGUCUCAGUUCUAUUUUUUCACUUGUGUCAUCAUAAUUCUAUUUGUACAAUAGACCGACGACCUAUUUGACAAGGCUGGCCAACAGCACCAAUAAUGAUGCAUUUUGUGAGCUUUGUGUCGAGAAAAUUACAGCCGGUACAGCAACAAAGGACACUUGACUAAUAGGGCCUACAACAACAUAGCUGCGAAAUUUGAAGAAAGGACAGGAUUGCGUCACUCCAAGCAGUAGUUCAAGAACCGAUAAGACGCCCUUCGACGCAUGUAUGCCUUCUAGUUGUAUGCAAACAAUUAGAGUGGACUUGGAUGGGGUAGGGCACAGUCGUGGCAGAUGACGCUUGGUGGAAAAAGCACACAAAGGUAUUUGAUGCCUAUCCCCUGCUACUUCCAUAUUGAACAUACUUGUGAGACAUGAGCUUUGUGCAUUAAUGUCUUUUCUGUAUUAAUUUCAGAAUCAUGGCGAAUGGAGGAAGCUGUGAUAUGGGCCUCCGGAUAAUCUAGAUGAGCUUCAAGUGAUGUUUCAGAAUAUUGCUGUGGAUGGGUCAUCUUCUUGCAUACUUGGUGAACAAAAAAUUGAAGGCUAUGAAGGUGAUGAAGGUGAUAUUGGUGACAGGAGUCCUGAACGUACCGUUCCUGGAAAGCGGUGCAGUAGUACUAGCACAAUUGCAACUAGCCUGAGGAGGAGGACAAAGAUUCUUAUGGUGAAGGUAAUGAAGGGGAUAUGGAAUAGGAAUGCACUGGGGCAAUUGGAGCUUGUGCAUCAAUUUGGAGCUGUGGGCUGCAUGUUUGGUAUGUAUUAUGAAUCUGCUUUCAUGAACAAAACUAAGAAGGUGAAAACUGGUCUUUCUGGAUAUGAGUGGGUCAUGACAACACUUAGCAAUCCAAUAGCCUUCUACGACCUGUUUAGAAUGAGUAGGGAACUUUUUCAUAUGCUGCAUGAUGUGUUGGUGUUAUCAUAUGGACUGAAGUCAUCAAAAAGGAUGAGUCCAUUGAGUGAUUGGCCUUGUUUAUGUGGAUCAUUGGAGCACCACAAUCAUUGAGACAAAGCUGAAAAUCGUUUUGAGAGGUCGAUUGACACGAUUAGUAGGAAAUUUGAACAAGUCUUGGAUAGUGUGUUUAGACUCUCAGCUAAUGUUAUAAAACCUAGAGAUCCUCGUUUCAGAAUAGUGCAUCCUAGAUUGCGGAGUUCUCGUUUCUCACCUCACUUUGAUAAUUGCAUUGGGCCAAUAGACGGAACACACAUCCUAGUUGUUGUUCCAUCAUGAAAGGUGCUUAAGCAUGUUAUUUGACAUGGUUACUCAAGUCAGAACGUAUUGGCUAUUUGUGACUUCGACAUAAGAUUCAAGUUUGCGGUUGCGGGAUGGCUGGGGUUUGUACAUGUUAUGAGGGUUUUCAGCGACACAAUAAACAAAUAUAGUGAUAAGUUCCCUCAUCCGCCGGAAGGUAAAUAAGUAUGUUAUUUAAAUGUGACAAAAAAUAUUGGUUAUGUGUCAUAAUUAUGCAAUUUUAUUAUUAGGGAAAUUUUAUCUUAUGGAUUUGGUUAUCUUGCACCUUACAAGGGAACGAAGUAUCAUUUGCCAGAAUUUCAACAAGGUCCAAGACCAAGAGGUAAAAAAGAGGUAUUCAAUUACUUGCACUCAUCCAUGCGCAAUGUCAUUGAGCGUUCAUUUGGAGUAUUGAAGAUGAAAUGGCGGAUUUUGUUAAACUUGCUGAGUUAUCCAAUGAAUAAGCAAAACAAAAUAAUCCUUGCUUCCAUGGCUCUACAUAAUUUCAUUUGAGAUCAAGACUUCGAUAUGUGUGACCAAGAUGAGGAGUACAUGCCAAUACCGGCGGCCUCUUCUCCUCAAUGAAGCAGUGCUAACAAUCAUUUAGGCGACGAGGAUGUCAACAUGAAUACAUUUCGAGAUUCUGUAGCGAAUGCUUUGUUUGCUAAUGAAGAGUAGAGUCAUUGUGAGAGGGUGUUUGUAAUGACAAAUAGUAGGUAUGCGCGAACUUGUAUGCUGUUUUGUGAAUAUGUAUGUUGUUGUAUUCAUGGACUUUCGGAUCUUCGUGCGACUCAUUCAGUGCAUUGGUGGGAAGCAAUGUUGUAGCUAGUGGCAACCAAAAAUACUAGCUUGGGCAUAAAUAGGAAGUAGGCAUAAAAAAUAUGUAAAAUUAGCUACUGGAAUCUAGAAUCCAAACAGCACAAUCCAGAUUUUAUUUAGAAUCCAGAUUUUGUCAAUUCAACCAAAAUCCAGAUUCUUAGAAUCUGAAUUUGUAUUCAAAUGGGGCCUUAGUCUGGAUUUUGAGAAUCCAAAAUCCAGAAGCUAGCCGGCUUCCAAAUGGGACGGAUUUUGGUGAGGAUUCCAGAAUCCGGAUUCUGGAUUCGCAAAAUCCCGAAAUCUGGAGUUGGGGAGCUUAUGGUGGAUUUUGACGACCAAAUGACCGAAUAGCCCUUCAGAUUUCAUUAGAAUUACCUCCCCUGCCAUCACCUCCAUCCGUCUCUCUCCUCGCCUUCCCCGCCGCCGAAGCCUCCCUCUCGUCGUCGCCGGCCGCGCCCGCCUCCAGCUCGUCGAACGAGGCCCACCGGCCGCGCCCGCUCUAGCUCAUGAAAGGAGGCCUGCCGGCCACCGCGCCAGCCGCGCCGUUCCAGCUCGUCGGAGGAGGCCCGCUGGCUGUCGCGCCCAGAUCCACCCGCCGUGGCGCCUCCUCCUCCUUCCCACCCCUCCUCAUUGAGUCAAGGAACCGGUCCUGGAGGUGCUUGUCGGAGAGGUUGAGCCUAGGGGGUGUGGGCCCAGGUGCCGAGCCACCACCUGGAGAGCAUGGACGAGUGCACGGCAUCUACGGCUGGGAGGAUGGAGAGGACAUGCUCGAGGAUGCCGUCGGGGAGGUUGCUGAUCCGAUCGCCGCAGCCGCCGCCAGCUGCAACCUUAUGGUUUCCAACCAUCGCACGUCUCCCUGUUUGUUGGGCAGAUAUGAGAGAGGCGGGAGGUGUGGUAGGGUUCCUUCACGUAGGCGACGGUGGUGGGAAGCGCCACCAGAGAAGAGAGAUUGCGGCGAGGCGACGACAGCGUGGGAUGAGGUUGGGGACGGGGUGCGGCAUCUGGGUAAUCGGAAUAAGGAUUCUAGAUUCUAAAAUCUAUCCCUCCAAACAGGUCCAUCUGGUUUUAGCUUGGAAUCCAGGUUUUGGAAAUCCAACCAAAAUUCAGAUUUUCAGAAUCUGAUUCUGGAUCCAAACGGGGCCUAAAAUGGGAGGCCAGUAGUCAAAGGUGCGAGUAUUGAAAGUCUCCGUGCAAUCUUUGUCUGGACAUGAUGCUAAUAAUAAUCAUUCUUCAUCUACAUUAGGUCAGCACAUUCUUAUCCUAAUCUAGGUAAUCAAGAUGCGAUGCCCACAAUGUGUUGUCGUUGCCAGAAAGUAAUGGGAACCGGAGGUUAAGGGCGUGCUUGUUCCCGGCCGCAGCUUGUGGCGCCGAUUUCCACCGCCAUGGCCCGUGGCGUGGCAUGCCGGGGACCAAACAGGCUCUAAUUGUAUCAUAUGGGAAGGUAUAACAUCUGGCUAAUGAUUCAUAUUAGAUGACAGGGUAUCUAUCUCCGGGCCUACUGCGGCCAUCAUAUUGUGUGGCAUCAGUAUAUGUUGCUCACACAGUCACACUAUGGAAGCCAUCAGCUCUGGCUUUGUAGCUGCUUUUAUCAUUGUAGGGCUGCAAAACUAGGAAACAAUCAUAGAAAGAGUGUGUCCAGAGAAUUAAAUAUUAGCACAAGUUCCUGGUGUUUGUGAUUGUGGUAUCGCUAUACCAUCUGGAGUUCUGCACAUGGCAUCGCAAACCUGUCUCGCCAUUUCGUCCAGAGAGUACUGUAGGCGAAUGUGUCAUGAUAAAACUGCAAGGAGACGGGAGGAUUAGGCUGGCUGGAUGCAAUGCAAUCGGAAAAGAAAGGGCGCACUGGCAGCUGCUUUGAUCUCUUCCCUGCAUACCCAAGCACAAGCGCGAGAGGAAGAGAAAUAGAGAUUCUUGGAACUGCGGAUGUUACACGUGCAUUGCAUGCAAAUUAUCGGAGUAAUUUUUUUUUCUUUUUUAGGGAAGUUAAACAUCAAGAGCUAGUUUCCGAGGCUGGAAUUGGGAGCAUGCGGCCGGCCGGCCGGCCGAAUUGAAUACUGUGUGCCACUCCCUUGGCUCGGCGAGUUGCCUAGCUGCUAACGAUAUACUCCUUGUCCAUCUCACCGUUAAUUUCAAAAUAAGUAGUGUGAUUAUACGCCAUUUGAAUACAUGAUGAUUUAAAUAACCUAAUCAAACAAUUCACACAUUGGUUCUUAUACAAAGCAUAUAUACCAGUCUACCACAAAGUCAAAAUAAACAACAAAAAGUCACCAAAGAUCGGAGGGGCAGCAGCAGACGGCACACAGAGACGGAUAAAUCACGCGUUGACGCCACAAAAUCAAACACAACGAGAUUCCACCACAGAUCGAAGGGGACGGCAGGCAUGGUGUGAAUGAGCGAAGUGUUACUAUCGAUCUCCACGGUCAGUGAUUUUUCGAAUGUACAAAUAUUUGGGGGAGAAUGUUUUUCGUGUCUUACAGCAAAGAGGCCACAUCUAUCUCAUGGAAGCACACCCCCGCGAUCCUGCUCGUGCCAUGCUCACCACCCCAUGGGAGCACGUUGGCCUUCAUUGUUCCCAGGUUGAGCUCGAUGAGCCCGACCUUCUCCAUCCAAAAGAUCACGGUGCGGCUCCUCUCCCCAAACCCCACGCACCAGCAGAUCAUCCCGUUCACGUCCACGCCGGGCAUGACCUGCUUGCCGAUCCCAUGCUUGCAGAUCACCGCGUCCCGGCUCCACCCCUCCGUCGACAGCGUCCACAUCGAUAUCACCUCAGCUUCUGGGACGAACAUGCUCAGGUUCCCUUCCGGCGUGGCGGCCAGCGUGCAACAACUCCCUGUGCUGCUGCUGCCACCAAGAUAGCCCUGCGGCGGCGGCUCGAUCGCCGUGGCCUCUGCACUGUCGGCGUGCACGGCGAGGAUGAACACGCCGGCGGCACGCUGCGUCGAACGGCAGAUCCAGUGGACGAUGCGCCCGAUGAUGGCCGGGGAGGUGUGCGCUGACUGGUUGACGAAGCACCAGCAGUCGUGCUCCGGGGGUAGAGCCACUAAACGUAUGGCGCCCCACUUGCCGCUGCCGUUCUUGGAAUUUUUUUUAAGAGGAGAACAAAUAUGUAUCAACUGUUGAAUCGGAUACAAUGUUGAAUCGGAUACAACAAUGGGCUAAAAAUGCCAAAGGGGCAAUAAGAACUGCUGUUAAAAAAUGAUAGAUUUUGUUUUUUUAUCUUUAGGCUAUUCACUUUUCAUGUGCUCAGAAUGUUCUGCAGAAUUAGGGACUUUUUUCUUCUAUUGGCCGAUCUUAUGAUGAGAACCAUCUCCAUUUAUGUUUUAUUUCCCCGGGCAACUCCAUACUAAGCUCAAAAGUCUAUGGAGCGGCUAAAUGAUUGAAAAUCCUUCCCUUCAAAAUAUCUGUUUUGUUUAUCUUUUUCGAGCUCGCCCUUCGGGAACGCCACUCUUCCUAUAGCAGAAAAAGCAAUAUCUGAAAUCUUUAAGCAACUAAAAAAGACGUCUAGUAAAAGAUAUGUGUUGUGCCAGGGAUGGUCAAUAACAAGAGCUUGCACUAUCGAUCGAAUGACGGACGAGGAGAAGAUGCAGGUUCGCAGGCACCCGUCCAUGGCGAGCAGCUCGAAGGAGCGGCCGGCGUCGGCGACGGUGAGCAAGGUGGGCCGGUAGAUGCCGGGAUUACCCCACUUGCCGACCUCCCCGUCCAUGUAGGGAAGGCAGGCGACGUUGCCGGUGAAGGUGUUGCAGACGCGCAGCUCGGGCUCGGCUUCGGCUUCGUGCCGCCAGAGGACGAGGAGCCCGCCGCGCGAGGACACGAGCUCCAACGAACGCAGCUGGCCCGUGUCGAAGCGGAGGCGCCAGGACGCCCGGACGAUGUCGUGUUCGUCGUCGCCGCGGUCGGCGGACGCGUAGGAGACGCCGAGGAGGCGGGCGGGGUCGUAGCCGGCGCGGACGGCCGCGAUGAGGCCGACGCGGGUGACGGGGCGGAACCCCGCGCCGAGCAUGGCACGCCGGAGGGGCCUGCUGGCCGCGGCGCAGCGGGCGAUGGACGCGGCGUCGUCCGAGCGCGCGACGACCUCGAGCAGCAGCUCUAGCGGGAGGUGCUGAUCCCCUUGCAUUGGCGGCAGGCGGCGGCGCUUGGUUGCGGCGGCAAAUGGGUUGGAGUACAUGGGAUGGUAUCGUGUCGGCGUCGGUUUCGGUGGGGCGUGUUCGCUUCAGCUUAUAAGCCGACUGAAAAGCUGAAACAGCUGAUUUGUUGUGAGGGAAAAAUAUUGUUUGAUGGCUGGUAAGGAGCCGAGCCUGUUUAUCAUCAUGCGUGCCGCGUGCGGGAGGGGUUGUCGUGGUCAAAGCAGACUUGGCAGCCAAGUUUCCUUCGGCAAUACCGCCACCACGACCUGUAGCCCAAUACACCGGCCCAUCCGCAUCCUACAGGCCCAAAGCUCCCCACGAGCCCAUCGAUCACCUCCGCCGCCGCGUGCCGCGGGCCGUGGCGCCGUGAAGACCGAGACCUAGACGAGCACCACCGACAAAGGCAAGGAACCUAACGCACUGUUGCGUUCUUGUCGCGCAUUGACCGGACCCCUCGGCGCGCGUCAACGCAGGCCCGCGCGCACCCGCCCCACGCGACGCGAUACCUUCGCCGCAACGAAACCGAAACGCCAAUGAAAUUUCCGGGAGUCCCACGCCCACGUACUGCUGUCCACUACCCGUCGACUGACCGGCAGCUAGCGAUCCCUGGCCUAGUGAGUGGGCUACUCCCAAGACGACGGUUGCAGCGUCCGCGCCGCGCGGGCUUCCAGGAUCCAGCCGGCAGCGAUCCAUCGCCACCGUGCCAUGUCCGGCGCCGACGCGGACGCGCCGUCGAGCGAGGGCGCCGAGCAGCUGCGGGCGUGCAGGGAGGCGGCGCAGAGGAUGCGAUGGACGCCAGGGGUGCUCAGUGUUCGAUACGGAGGGUCUGGAAAGCGAGCGUGCCGGUAUGUGGAAGNNNNNNNNNNNNNNNNNNNNNNNNNNNNNNNNNNNNNNNNNNNNNNNNNNNNNNNNNNNNNNNNNNNNNNNNNNNNNNNNNNNNNNNNNNNNNNNNNNNNGCAUCUACUGCUUCGCGGGUCUUCACGUCCGUGGCCGGCGCGUGGUGGGUCGCCGACGCGGUCACGCCCGCCGAGGGGCUCAUCCCCGCGUCGGGGGUGGCCGCCGGCGGGACGGCGUGGUGGCGGACGAGCAUCGGCACCGCGGUCGGGUACAACCCCGGCACCGGCCGCGUCGAGCUCGCGCUGUGCCCCGGCGACAGCGCCCGGUGGGAGAUCGGCUCCGCCGCGGGCACGCUCCACUGCGCCGUGCGCGCCGACGGCGACGUCGUCGUGUUCCGCCUCGACGGGCACGGUCGCUGGGAGGCGGCCGCGACGGUCUCUGUCGCGGAGAUACUGCAGCGACCUCGGAAUCGGGCAGAGCAGGAGCGCACGGGCGCCAUUACUGCCGCGUCCAACAGGAGCAUUUGGAUGCCGCGCGACGACGUGCGGCUGCUGCCGUUCCAGGGCGCGGAGGUGGAGGUGGUGCUGCUGUCCGGCAGGCGCGUGGUGGCGUUCGAAGCGGCGACGGGGCGGCGGCGCGAGGCCGUCCUGCCGGAUCAGCCGGCCGGCACGGACUGGUGCGCCGCGGCGUUCGCCGCGCACACCAACACGCUCGCGCCCGUCGCGCCCGUGGUGCUCAUGGAGCCGCCGGACGAUCAGGAGGACGUCGCGUCGUAACUUCUUGAGUGAAUUUCCAGCGGCUCACCGUGCGCUCGCUUAACUGGUGCGAAGAUCUUAGGGAAUAAUCAAGCUUGUGCUUGUGCAUGAUUUCGUUGGAGAAAUCAGCUGUCUGAGCUGCUAGUUGUACAUAAUCAAUCCGAACAUGCUUGUUCUACUAUACGUGUAGGACAUUUUUGGCCAAAUUAUUCACACGGAAGUUGAAUUAUAUAGUUGGUUUUGUGAUUACUCUAGUUUGAUGGUAACAAUUCAUUGUCUCUUUAGUUCGUCGUUUCCCAUGUUCAAAGAGACAAGAUUGAUGUGACUGUAUUUGUUCUAACAUCGAUAUGAUUGACGAGAGUUAACAAGAGGUCCAUUUGUGCCGUGAAAGACGAUUCCUAUCUCCGAGUCAUGCCGCCGUGUACUUGCACCGAUCUUGCAACACACUUUGCGAAAAGAAAGUGGGGGAAUGGGAAUAAAGCGAACUGCUAAAGGUUGUUGCUAACACGAAACAACCAGUAAUUGGCAGCAUUCGGAUUAGUGUUAACUACUUUAUCGGAUUAUUUAAUGAAACAAAUUCUUUAGGCAUAUCUUUCUUGGUUCAAUUUACUCCUACAACUGUCAAUUGGUUCAGUUUACCCCUCAAAAUUUUGUCAACAACACAACUUCAAAAUUUUAUAUCCAGCUAUGUCAAGAAAGACAUAAUUGCUCUUCGCAUCUUACAAUACUGUGGCGGUAUAGAGCCGCCACCAUCCACUCUAGCCACGCCAUACCUUGUUGCUGCAUAAGGCCAAGGGACAACGCCAUUGCCACUGCACACAACCAUUGGAGCUUCUAUUCAUUGCUACCGAUUACUCCUACGCAAGCUGUCGUUUGCAAUGGGCCACCUUCCGCUAGUUGUAACUAUAUCAACAUCAUUACGUGUUCCGCAAGGUGAGUACAAGCUAUAAAUAUUUAUCUAUGCAAGGAUCAUGUAGUUGUGUUACGUGUUUAAUGAAAAAUGUUACAUCUUAAAAAAAAACUAGACCGGUGGGGUAAGACUGCCCCACGGUUUUGUUUUAAGAAGAAAGCUGAACCUUCCUCCUAGUCCAGAAAAUCCACCGAACCCCGACUUUGCUGACGAGGUUUUUUUUAACCUAACCCGAAAUUCGCUCUCACCAAAAAUCGAACUAGGACCUAGGGUGCUACUAAAGCAUUGCCACCACUAGGCUACAAGCUCGUUCGCUAUGUCGUUUUAACAUGGAGGCAGGCAAGGAAAAAACAUGCUACCUAAGGAUUUUGCUAUGUCAUUUCAUGGAGGGCGUUACACAUUGCAUGGGAAAAACAUAAUGGACACCUAAUAUAAUAGACAAGUCUGCUUAGCUCAAUGUGUUAACUCAUUCGAUUUUCUACAUCACUAAUCCUAUUUGAUAAGAGCACGUGAUAUCUGCAUAAUUUGGAGGGAAGUUCGUUAUGUCAUGCUUCGGACAAUGAUUUUGCAUGAUCGAAGCAAUGCAGAUAUGUAGUAAUUUGGACUCUGAAUAUGUCAACAACACAUACUUCAAAUUUUCGUCCGAACUACAUAUAUGAGCUACUCAAGGUUGCCAUUGACACCCUAAUAUAUUUGACACUUUGCCCUUCAGAUCUUACAAUAUUGUUCUCGUAUAAAUAAUUCCAGUUAGUUAGUUGCUUAUUUAGCUAAGCCCCACAAGACACAAUAUCCUGGUAUUAUACCGUAGUUUGAUUGUGCCACUCUGAUUACUUGAAAUACUUCCGCUGCUCAGUUCUUUGAAUCUUGGUCAAUGAAUGUUGCCAACUCGUGAUAUUUAUUGAAGUGUUGUUGUCAAGAAUUAAAUCAAUGAUGGGCAUGAAUUCAUGUAUAAGAAUCUGGCUGAUUAUUUCUUGUUUCUAUUAUAUGCUGCCUACUGAAAAAAUUAGUAUUUUAAAUAUUUCACCAUUUGAAUUUUCAACACCCACUUAUUUUAAAUAUGAAGUGAGAGCACCAAUAUGCCUCUAAUCCUGUGGUUGUCUGUCCUUAUUUCAAUCCAUAUUUCUAAUAUUCCAGGCUCUAGAUUACUGUCAUUCUUUUUUUUUUUUGAGGAACCAACAGGGGGGCACGAGCCUACCUGAACCGAUUUUCAUUCCAUCAUCAAAGGCAGUCACAUUUUCUCGAGCAGGCGCGGCGCUCGGGGGAAGGUUACUGCCAUUCUUAAGGCAUUAUGAAUCGAGAAUCGAGAUGUGAACCCCACAAUGUAACCAUGAGCAUCGGAAACUUCUUGAUAGACUGGGGCUUGGCUGAGCCAGGCACGACACGAGUGAACAUCUUCUAAUGACGUGCAGUUUGGAAACAUAGCAAAGUCAAGAACCAGGACAUGUUCGGUUUGUUUUUUCGUUGAAUGUUGAUCUCCUGUUGACUCUGAAUCUGCAAACAGCAUAUGAACGAGGGAUUCAAUUGAUUGACAUUCACUUUAUAUUUUCGCUCAAAGAAAAAGACAUUCACUUUAUAUUUUCGCUCAAAAAAAAAAGACAUUCACUUUAUAUUUUGGUAGUACUGAGAUUUUAAGCAAAAGAAAGUCUCACUGAAUCUUUUAGAAACAAGCAAAUCGAAUGGAUGUCUUAAAAGCCCGUUAAUACUACUACAUCUUGGACACAGCGGGCACUGGCAAUUAGCUAGCGAAUUGAAAACUACUCCCUCCUGAGCUCCCUCCUUUCUGUCUGGUGUCCUUUGUCUGAAUCAUCCGCAGGAGAAAGCUUUGGCAGGCGGCGGCGAGUCGGCGACCUUGCCGCCUCACAUCACCGAGCAGCUGUUGGGGUUCUCGUCGCUGAACAUGUUGUCAUUCGGGUGCGGCGGCGGGUGGUACAUCGGCGGCCGGCCGUACCCGUACCCGUACCCGUACCCCAUCGGCGGGUAGCCGGCGCCGCCAUGGACAUGGUUCCCGUCGCCAUUCAUCAUCAUAUGUGGCUGCUGCUGAGCCACGGGGUUGUUCCAGGCUGCCUGCAUCAUCUCCGGUGCAGGCGCCAUGCCGCCACCAACGCUGACACCAGCACCGCCGGGAUAGAGACCAGCCCCCGGCAUCGUGCCGCCGGCCGUCAUGCCAUGCACGGUGGCACUGCCACCUCCCGCCGGCUGCAUGCCAACGCCACCAUUUUGGGGGUGGCCCAUCGGCAUGCCGCCCAUGGGCCUACCGCCAGUCUGGCCCAUGCCGGGGAAACCUGCGCCGCCCAUCAUGUUAGGCGGCCUCAUCAUCAUGCCCGGCUGAGGCGGCGGCGGCGGCGGCAUGCCGCCCAUCAUCGGGCCGCCGACCACGCCGGCGGGCGGGCCACCGGCAGCGACGCCCUUCUUGGCCUGCACUGGCAGCUGGUUCCGGCCGCCUGGGGCGCUGCCCUUGCCGUUCUGCGGCGCCUGCGCACCGCCACCAUUCUUACCGCUGCCGCCUGCGCCACCCUGGUUCUGCUUCGCUCGGAUGAGUUCUGCAAUCUUGUCGCCGAUGUUGGCGUUUCCCUUGAUCUGCACCGGGAUCUUGUUGUCCCUGCCACCAUUGCCGCCCUUCUUGUCGCCCCCACCGGCGGCUGGCGGCAUGGCCAUGGGCUGCAUCAUCAUCAUCUUGUCGUCGAGGCCGUCAUCCUCGAAGUCGUUGUCGUCGUCGAACUCAUCAUCCGAGUCGCUGUCGUCGUCCGCGGGCUCUUCGCCCUCGGGAACGUCGAACUUGACGGCCUUGAGGUCCUUGGCCUUCGCCGGCGGUGCAGCCGCCGGCAUCGGCAUCUUGCCGCCCAUGCCCAUCAGCUGAGGAGGAAGCUUCACCCCCUUCAUCUCCAUCUCCGUUUGCAGUUGCUGAGGAUGCUGCUGGGGCGGCGGCGGCGGCGGCAUCACCAUCUCUUCAUCUUUCGCGCCAUCUCCGCCUCCGCCGCUGCCGCUUGCAGCAGCCUCUCCACCCUUGGGCUGGCCCUUGCCGCCAUUGCCAAGCUGGAGCUUUUGGACCUCGCUUGCCACUCCAGGAUUGGGGCCCCACAGCUGCGCGCGCUUGUGGGCCUUGUUCAGCUUCUUGAUCACGGUGUACGGAUCCAUCAGACCGGACACCGUCACCUUCCCCUGGUCCUUGUCUACACUGCUUUGAAAAACACCUGCACAUAAAUCCAGCACGUUUCUCUUAGGGGGGGAAAAUGGACAGAAGAACAAAGUAGAGCGGCUGAACAGACCUGGUGAUGAAAAAAUAAACAAAGAAAAUCAAGCAAUCUGAUUUUAGAAAAGCUUUCUUUCUUACCGUCAAUCUUGUGGAUGAUCUUCUUGACCUGCUUCUCGCAUCCAGGACAGUGCAUGUUCACUUUCAGCACGCAGGUCUAGGACCGGAACAGACAAAAAAAUUGUUAGCAAAAUUGAAAGAAGGCUGCAGGAGAGAUGCACGGUGAGAUGAAAUCAGGUUGCCUGUAUCGAACACAGAAAGAACAUGGAAUGUGUGUGCUGUUUUCUUGAGUUGCGAAGACGCAAAAAAACAAACUCACCUGCACCUUGAGGAUGUCCUCCUUGAUCAUCUUGAAGGCACGGGUAGGCUUCAGAUCUGAUAAGAGAGCACUCCAAUCAGGAAGUGAAGAAUAAGAACGGCAGCAACCAGGAGAGGAAAAAAAAUCCUUGCUAGAGAGAGCACACCAUCACACACAAAAAAAAUCUAGAGAGAGAAACAACAAACCCUCGCAAGAAUUUCAGGAGUGCCUUCAGUCUUCUCGCUGGAGUGGGAGAUAACUUAGGCUUGCAAUAAAAUACGGUCCAUCACAUACUUAAUCACACAAAAAAUAAAUCUAGAGAGAGAAACAACAAACCCUUGUUAGAGUUUGUGUUUGCAAAAAAAAAAAGAGCGAGGCUAUUAAGCGCCUGGAGUGUGGUCCAGAGAAAAAGAUGAGAGGUAGGAGGAAGAAACCCCUAUUUCUAUCUACCAACAAAGCUAAGCAUAUGAAGGAGUAUUUCGCUUACCUCUUAUUUUUCUUGAGGUCGCCCUUGACCCUGGAAGCUGAAGCCUCCACCUUUGUUCUUCCGAAUUGUGAAAUGAUGAUCUGCAAAAGACUAGCCAAAGGGGGCUUUAAAUAUGCUUAGUCACCUGUCAGUUUUCCUAUGUUUUCUUUCCAAAAUUCUAAUUUUAUAAACCAGUCCCUGUGUGACUUCCAUCCAGUUAGUAAUUUUUUUGGGGGGGCUCAGGAAACAAUUGUUCAAUAGGGGAUAUUUCGUUAAGCAUAUGACAGUAUUUGUCCAAAUGGUUCAAUGAAAAUAUCAGUGACAUCAUUUCCACGCACAAAAAGAAAGAAAGAAAAAUGUAGCAUUCUAGUUGUUAAAUCCUAACACACAGGCUAGGCUAUACAUGGUGGGUUUUAUCUUUUAACUAAAUAUAAGAAAACAAUAUCAACAGCAUAACGUGUUCUGCAAGGUGAGCACAAGUAAAUAUCAAUCUAUGCAAGGAUCAUGCAAUGUCGUUACGUGUGUCAUGAAUAAUGUUACAUCUUGCAUGGAAAAACACACGACAUGAUGAUUCCAUCGUGUCACUGCGUGUUUCAUGAAAAACGCUACCCCUUGCAAGGAAAAAACAUGAUAUGUAAUGAUCUUGCCGUGUCAUUUCAUGGAGGGCGUUACAACUUCCAUGGGAAACAUACAAUGUAUCCCUAAUAUAAUAGACAAGUUUGCUCAGCUUGAUGCAUUAAAGUAUUCGACUCUCUAUAUUACUAAUCCUAUUUGAUAAUAGCAUGUGAUAUCCGUACAAUGUGGAGACAAAUUGUCGUUGUGUCAUGCUUCGAACGAUGAUUUGCAUGAUAUCGAAGCAACACGUGGCGUUCAUACAAAUACGUCAGAAAUGCUCGCUAUAUGUUAUGCAAAGUUACCAAAUUUGGCGGAGCAUACGUUACAUGUCCCAUUAUAGGUGCGACAUACGACAACAACUAAUCAUUGGUUUUAAAGGCAUAGGUGUGACGUGCAAUAGCCGUUAUACUCAAUCAUUGAGAACACGACAAUAAAUGGUCGAUGGUGUUGGAUUUGCCUAGAAAAAUAUAUGAAAAAGUUCCAUAAAAUAUUCUAAAUUUCUAUCUUUGCUAACACGUCCUUCCUUGGAACCACUAAGAUUAAUGGAAAAUGGAUCAAAAAGAGGUGGAAGGAUAUGGAAAUAUUUUGGCAAAGCUCCUAAGAACAGUUCUACCGUACUAUGUAAUUAAAUGUUGUUACCCAUGCUUCUCCCAUCAACUAAGGUGUUCCCCAACUGUAUUAAGUGAAUAGGUUAACCAAAGAACUUGCUUAGGAAUAAUCUUGCAAAGAGGGGCUUGGAUGCAAAAAGUUGAAGAAUGGAUACACAAUGCUGGAUAUUCUGGUAAUUAGCUACAAUCCAACACACCCCUAACCAUUAUCGUCCUCUUGUGUCACUAGAGACAUGACGUGGUGGAGAGUGGUGGGCUGCAGCUAGGCCAGCCAUGCAGACCUCACACCAUCUCCGGUGCAGCCCGCGGUCUGGUGUGUCUAUUAGCGAGGCAGAGGAGGUUGGUGAGUUUGGCACAUUAACUUCUCACUCCUUAAUCUUGUUUGGAGUCUAGGCUGCUACCUAAACUUUUCUCUCCUCCUUCAGUUACUAGUUUGUUACUGUAUUUUAUUAGUAGCAAUUAACUCUUUUUCAAAAACACCUAAACUCUGCUCCCUUUUUCUGUUAGUCUGUUAGUGUCUUUUAGCUAGCAGUAACUCUUUUUUUCGUACUCUGUUUUGAAGUUCACCUCACAGUGACAGACAUUCUGUCUAGGUUCGUGCAAGUACGUCCAAGUCUCUUCUGAACUUUUGUUCGAUUCGACAGCCCGAGUGGUAUUAAGAGAUUUUUCUUUUCUUUUUCUAGUAGACUAUGGGUGACAGUUUGUGUGCUGCUGUUGCAGACACAGUUUGUUAUGCGCUGCAUUGUGACUCUGAGAGCGCAAACACAAAGAUCGAUCCAUCCAUCCACAACGUGCAGAAGGAGCACCGCAUAUUCAGUCAAACGAAUAGAACAGAUAGGCUGGCACCACUGCAUCUUGCAAUUAUGGGUUGCUUGUCACAUUAGAAAAGAUAUACGCUAUGGAAGGCAUUAAUACAUUUCUUAAAAAACAGAAUUUUACAUAGUAGUGCCAAUAUUAGCAUAUCUUUGCAGAUUUUUUAAAAAAACAUAGGUUUAUAUAGUAGUGCUAAUAGUAGCAUAUCUUUGCAGAUUUGGCAUUUAAUUCAUGCAAGAAUACAAAUAUCUAUGGAGAUUUUCACAACCAGUACAUUAAUUUUUUUGUACAAUUCAAUGCCACAGCUAGAGAUAGACAUGUAUGGUCUGCUGUAGCUAAAAAGAUGCCAUUUUAUUAAGUGCUGGAAAACGAUGAUCUAGAGAAAGAGAGGUUCAUAAAGUAGUGCUACUAUCUGUAUAUCUUUAUAGGUACGGCAUUCAGUUCAUGCAAAUAAAUAUGCAUAUAUCAGCAAGAUUUUGUAAGCCAACCAUCACAUUCGAUUUUUUCCCCCUACAAUUCAUUGACAUACACGGUCUGCUAUAUUGCUAUAGCUACAAGCCUAAUAUUCGAUUCACUCAAAUAAAGAUACGUAUAUCUACGAAGAGUUUGCAAACCAAACCAUUAUGUUCAUUUUUUAUACACAAUUCAUUGCCGAUUUUCCACUGCUAGAGAUAGAAAUAGAUGAAUGGUCUGCUAUAUAUACACUAUAUUUGUCAUAAUAAUGUCAAAUGCAUGCUAAAAUGAAAGACAAUACAAGUAGUAGUGCUAGUGUUCGUAUAUUUUUCCAUGAGUAUACGUAGCAUUCAAUUCAUGCAAACAUGGAUGCAUAUAUCUACAACAGGUUCACAAACAACUAUACUUUUUUCUUGUUCUUCGACAAUUAAUUGUUGCCACUGGAGAUAGAUCGAAAAGCACGGCCUGGACCGGCUAUAGCUAGGCAGAUGUCAAAACCUAUUCAAGUGCUAAAUAAAAGAAAUUGUGGAGAAGAAAUGCUUUUUUAUAUAUAUCUUUUUGCAGGCCUGGCAUUUAACUCAUGCAAAUAUAGGAAUAUCUACUAAGAGUUGAAAAACCAAACAACUACAUUGAUUUUGUGGCUACAGUACAUUGUGGCCGCUAGAGAUAGACAUGCAUGCUCAAAGCGAGCGAUGUCAUUGUGUCCUCCGGUGCAGCGGAAGCAAAUCCAGACGCGCCUUAAUCUGAAUUCUGAAAACCAACCCUAGAAUCCAUCUGGGUGCAGGGUAGCAUUUGCAACCAAAAACAUGGAGAGACCCUGUCUAUAUAUACUUGAUGCUGCAACAAGACGACGACGAGUCACUGCACGCAGGGGUACUGGUAGUGGUAGACAUACGUGUACUUGUGUUAUGUACGUAUAUGUAGUAGUUGCCUAGCCCUGUAUCAGAUUCCCGCUGCAUAGAAUUAAUAUGUACUGCUAUCCGCUGAUAGUUUGUAAUAUAUAAUUUGGUUUGCCAUACAUAUAUGUAUGAUUGAUUGGGACUUGGGAGUAAUUGACCUCUAUGUAGAUCUUCCAAGUGGCGUGGUAUAGGUUCUGGCUUGGCUUGCAUUGCAUGUGUAAAGAUCAAUUUCGAAGACCUUUUUUUUCUCUCUUCAAAAGAUGAUGAUUCACUAGGACGUGGUACAAUCCAUCGUUCACUAUACCAGGAAUUUCCGUUCCAGACUAACAUACGGGAACGAAGGGGUAUGCAACUGUGGUUCCCUUUGUCCCAUUAGUCAUGGUACUCGAGCUUUCUUCUCACACGCGAUGAGUCGUAUACUCAUAUUAGGCUGAGUGAACCUACGGAUGACAACCUAAUAGUAUAUUUGUUUUGUUAUUCUUUUAUUUCUCUCUCUACCUAAUUCGUAUUACAAACUCUCGAACUAUCGUUAAGAAGAGGUAUACCAAUACCUCCUUGUACUAUGAACUUGAAAUGUGUCGAUCCACGUUCCGUGUACCGGUUCCUCGAUCCAGUACCUGGUGACACUAGUUUGGAGUAGUGUUGGCCACUUGAUCCAGUCUCUAGAAAUUUACGGUUACAGAAGUUGCAUUGCUUCUAUCAACUUUUGAGACCAACUGAAAUGAUGAUGCAAAGGUUUACGUAGGAAAAAGGUCUAUCAAUCACCAAAUGUGAUCAAUCCGUUGAGGGCGACAAAACAUGCAUCUCCUCCCAUGUCACUCUCACGUGACACACGGGAAGCAACUCUAGCCGCGCCGCCAUUCACCCCACCUUCCUCCCUCCCCACCGCCUGAGCGUGCCAUCGAAAGCCCGUGCGUCCGCAAGGACGGCAGCAACGGAGCCUUCGUUGCUGCCUUGCUGGGCUACCGUGAGGAGCACACCUGUCGUUGAGGCGUUAGCAACCCUGUGGUGAAGGAAGACCUUUGUGUGUCUGUUAUAAUUCGUGUUGAACUGGAAAACCCGGACGUAAAUAGAAUUCAGGAAGCCUGAUCCUCUCGCGUGCUCGGCCUCCUCAGGAACUUACUUUAACGAUCGCAGCUCGGAUCGGAUGGUUCAGCCGGCCGCGACAGGAACUUCUAGCCAGGUCCGAGUCAAACUCAUGCUGCCUGCUACCAAAAUAUAAGCACGGCGAUGUGCACCCUUUGAAUCAAACAAGCUCUACGUAAAUUCAUACAACAUCUAUUUGCUUCGUCGAUCAAGUUCGUGUUUCGCGAGUUGAGACGAAGGCCAGCCAUGGAUUGGGUUUUUCUCCGUGACGGCGAUGGGAGCGGAAGCGACAGCGACGAUGGCGGCGGCAGCAGCGUGCGGGUCGGCAGCGACAGCGCCUCCGAGGACGGCAGCGACAGCGGGUUCGCGAUCGUGCGGGUCCGCAAGGACCGAGCCGCUGCCGCGGCCUCCCCAGUCGGCGGCGCCGUCCGCGACGCGGCGCCGGCGAUGGCGGCCGUGCCAUCACCGACGCCACCAGGGUUCUUCAAGGUGGUGUCCUACGGCGAGGCGUUCUCGGCUUCUUCUUCUUCUUCCACGGGCGGCGGCGUCGAGCACUCCGACUUCCUCGACGAGGCCACGAUCCGGGAAGCCAUCUUCGGCGCCGCCGGCUGCAGCCGAGGCGCUGGGACCGACGGCGGGGACACGGUGACCCACGAAGAGGAUUGCGAAUCCGAGGCUGCCGAGCUCGACGGCACAGGGAGCUCUGUCGAAGCGCCUCCUACGUCUUCGGUAUUGGGGACCACUGUCUCGCCGUGCAACACGCUACCGGAGAUGGCCACUGUCGUGGAGGAGGAAGACGCCGAGAGCUUUGGCGAGGAGGAUGACAUGGAGAACUCUGGUGAGGAGGACGAGGAAGACGACUACGAUGAGGGCUCUGGCGAGAAGGAGGAGGAGAACAUGGAGAACUCUUGUGAUUGUGAAGAGGACGAGGACGAUGACGACGAGAGUUCUGGCGAGGAGGAGGACAGUGAGACCUCUGAGGAGGAAGAGGAUGAUGAUGACGAUUACGAGAGCUCUGGCGAGGACGACUACGACGAGAGCUCUUGUGAGGAGGACGUGGACGAGAGCUCUUGCGAGGAGGAUGACACGGAGACCUCUGAGGAGGAGGAGGACGACGACGAGAGCUCCGGCGAGGAGGAAGAUGAGGACACUGAAAUUUCGGGGGAGGAGGAGGAAGACAGCGAUGGCGAGAGCUCCAGCGAAGACUGCUUCGAGAUCCCGGCGACCAGGCAUAGCACCGACCCUGGUCUUGAGCCUACAGCAAGCGACGCCAACGGCAACGGGAAGCCACCAGCGUUCCCUGGCGGCACCUACGACGACGUCGACGACGACGACUCUGAUGAUGACAUCAUACCCUCUACCACGAUGUGCACCCACAAUACUGACCAAGCCACAGCCAUCGAGGUCCAACUUAUAAAGGAGCUCUUGGAAUCUUUUCCUCACAUGUACGAUUACAUCGAAAUUGACAGUGGCAUGGAAGAGGAGCCAUUCGAGCCCGUUCGUCGCGAGUACGAUGGCAUCCAUAGUUCUUCCGACCUCGACGACAUCGACUACGAUGAGGAUGAUGACAACGAAGGUUCAGGCGUAGGAGAGAGUAGCAAGCCAUCGGAGCUUGUUGGUCGCGUCUACGAUGACGUUGACAGUGGUUCUGACGUGGAAGAGAGCGUCAGUGUGCCGUAUGCCCCUAACACUGAGCCGAGAGUCAGCAUGGUCGGAAAAAGCCCGCUCUCGGAGUUUCUGUUCGAGACGGCCCCAAAAGGUAUGCCGCGUGUUCUUUUGACGCAGCUCUACGGGCGUGCUGGUCGCAGCUACGAUGAAGUUGAUAGUGACUCUGACAUGGAAGAGAGUGGCUGUGAUGCGGAAGAUGAGAGCUGCUGUGUGGAGGAAGAUGCCAUUGAUUGCCCUGAAGAAGAAGAAGACAGCGGCGACGACAUUGAUAAUGGCGAUGAAGAAGAGAUUGACAACGUCCCUGGUGUUUGUGGGCUGUGCGGCCACACUGUCCAAACCAGCAACCGCCCCGUUGAGCUCGGCAGUAUCAGCGACUACGACUGCUUUGACCCUGAGACGGUUGUCAGGCCUGCUAAGGUCAUCUGCAAGAACGGCAAGGCGAUAUGCAUCGUGUACGACGACGACGACAAGCAGGGCGUCGACAACCCCAUGCCAGAAGCCACGGGCCCCAGCGGCGGAGCAGAGGAGCACGUGGAGCCCGUUCGCAGAAGCUACGACAACAUCGACACGGACACGGAAGACGAUGGCGGCCACAACGCCGUAGAAGAGGCGCCCGGCGCGUCCGACACGGGCGACGCGAAGAACCCGACGAGGGGUCCGGCGGGGAAGGAGGUGGCUCUGGAGGACUUGCGGCGGCGGGCGGUGGCGGAGGACACGCUGGAAGUGGAAGACUUGCUGCUGGAACUGCUAGAGGACCUCGAGUCGGCGCGACUUGCUCCGCCGGCGCACGCCCAGGAGCGCGCCGGCCAACGCGGCGCGGGCUCGCCGACGGCCGACCUCACCUUCUGUGUCAUGGUUUAUGUGGCCGCCUAUAUUGCGAUCGUCUGUUUCAGUAGUCUUAGGUAGGAUUCAGUAAUCGUCAGUGUCCAAAUAACUAAUGUUCGUCAGCCGGAUUAGCUGUUGAUUCAAUUCUGGGAUAUGUAAUUGUAAGUGAUCUACUCAUAUUUCUGAUUCAUCACUAUCCUAUAUUCAAACUUUCAAAGUCAAAUAUACACUUGAUAUAAAACAACGAACAAUCAACAACAUGCUCUUGGGAGCUAAAAUGCCAGCCGCGAAACAGAAUGUUAACAUAUGACUGAACGAAAUGCAUAACGUGCAGUUGCGCCCACAUAUACUGGAUUCUCCAUCGUCAGGCGUAGCCGGGCCGUCGCCCGGAAGCAUUGACCGGUGCUGUUAUUCCUGGAACAUAGAAAAACACAGAGCCCGACCGCAAAUAUUAGGACAAAAGUGUUAUCUUGUUGUUGUGCAAUUGACUGGUGAAAAACAGUAAACGUUGGAAAUGGCCAAACAGCUGAAUUUUGGAACUCCACAUGGUUAGAUGAACAGGCACCUAGAGAUAUUACCCCCAACCUCUAUAAGCUCGUCUCGAGAAAGCACAGAUUGGUUUACCAAGAGGUACAAGACCAUAGAUGGACGAGGGGACUCUGGAGAAUGAGCACUGCAGCUGAAAUGGCUGAAUUUGUACAACUAUGGGACUUGUUGCAGCACAUAACGCUUACUGAUUUGCCAGAUGACAUUGCAUGGAAAUGGACAGCAGAUGGGAACUACACUGCCAAAACUGCUUACCUGGCCCAAUUCAAAGGUUCAUAUUGCUCUUUUCAAGCACAACAUCUAUGGAGGGCACAAGUGGAAGGCAAACAUAGGUGCUUUGCAUGGUUGUUGCUUCAAAGGAAAAUUCUGACUGCUGAUAAACUAAUGGCAAGAAAUUGGCCUUGCAGUCCGAUUUGCCCAUUAUGUAACGAUGAACCUGAAACUGCUACCCACCUGUGUUCUUUACCCUUUCGCACUACUGGUCUGGAGCAAGGUCGCUAGCUGGACUGUUGGACUGAUCUCUGUGCCAAUGGCGAACAUGAACCUUCAUGAUUGGUGGUCAUCCUCAAUCAACGCCGCCAGAAAAGAAAAGAGGAGGGCAACGACAACAAUAAUAAUUUACACAACUUGGAAUCUCUAGAAGGAACGAAAUCGACGAAUCUUUGAAGGAGUCCGGCAUUCACCGCCAGAAGUAUUCAACAUGAUUAGGGAAGAGGUUAGUUUGCGCCGAAGCGCCUGUGGUGCACCAGCGAUAGAAUAGCGUUUCUCUAGUGUAACCAUGUGUCAUAAGCUGAGCGUUUUAAUUGUUAUCUUGUAAUCUCAACUAUGUAAGACAAACAAUUUCUCUCCUCCUUAUAUGAUAGGGCAGUGCUCUGCCCUUUUAUGUUUCAAAAAAUACAGUCCCACCAGGAACUUCAAAUUUCAGGAAUAGUUAACAAAAAAAAAACUGUUUCCAGAAUGAUCAAACUCGGCAUUGCAGUAUUCCAUGCUGCAAGUGAAACCUGUGACUCUGGAAGCUCCAGGCUCUAGUUUUGCAGUGCCUGUCUCACAAAAUCCGCCCAGCAACAAAGAUAUUACACGAAUUUUAAGUUACAGCCAUUGAAGACCAAAUCUGUUGUCGGUCCCUCAAUUCCAAAUCUCAUCGCUUCAGCCGUGAAACCGUGACAGUGAACGAUCCACUCUACUAAUAACCAUCUGUAGAAAGCUCCACUCCUAUGAAAAAAGAUCGUUCUAAAAAGGUGACGUGAAGUGUAUGUGCAUCAGUAAACGAAUUGGUGGCCGUCGUGGCUCGACAUGCCAACUAUAUACCAGUCUGCUCGGCGCCGUCUAAUCUUCCGCAUGCAUGAUCUCGCCCAUCAUGAUCCGAUUGCUGUGAACCUUGAACCCCAAAAGAGACGAGCUCAGCCUUGUACCUUUCUUCCCUUUCUUCUGAAUGUCCAAUGCAGCAGAUGCCAUAUUGAACACGGAACCUCCACUCUCACUUGUAGAUUGGAAUUCCGACCUGGUUAUGUAGAGAACAUAAGUUUUCAGCGCAUAAAGAAUGCAUGAGAAGUGUAUGAAACAGGGCUCAAAGGAAUAAAUUGUAGAUGCCUUUAUGCUAUUUGAUUAUAAGCACUGGUAAGACUGUAACCCCGACUUGUUCUUAUGAAUAAAAACCAUGUACGAGAUUAAGAAUACAAAAUAAUAUGCAGCAAGAUAAUCCCAGGAUUCAGAUCCUCUGUGAAGGCAUUGGAGGGAGCACGAUGACUGAAUAUUAUAAGCUCAUCUAGUGAAGUGCUGGAAACCAAACUAACGUGUUUCUACUUGUGGGUAAAAAAGGUAGCAUAGGAGUAUCAAAACACACAUGAACGACUUCAGAAAUACUAAUGGACCAAUGGCGCAUGGCAGCUAAAGUUGUGUAUAUCGAACCGAAGAAGCUAAUCAGUCUAAGCACCGCUCGAUCUAUGCGUAACAUGGACCUGAGCAGUUUGAUAUUUUAAAGUCAAAAUAUGUUACAUCAAAGUGCCCAUAUUUUGUUUAUCCUGCUAGAAACAAUUGAAGCUACCCAUUUUUACCUUUUAUUCAGUGCACAAAGAUUGCAAUUUACCUUAUAACCCCUAUAUAUUUUAUUACCAUAUAUUUGGGAAAAGAUACAAAAUACAGUGUUGUGCAAGAAAAGUUGCUAUACCAUCGGACAUCUGAAUGACAUUUUAUUCGUGACCGCAGAAUAACCAACAUAUGCACAAGGCCAAAGAAAGUUGUGUUGUUGAAGUUGAAAGAUCAAAGACCAAAAUCAUAUUGCAGACACCUCAAUCUUGAAAUCUAGUAUUUUUUCAAGUCAAAAUGCAGGUUCAAGGACACACAUCAUGAAUCUUACUACUACGUACAUUAAAACAAGUUUAACAGAUUAAACAGACUCAAAACCAGAGAGUAUAUGCGAUGGAUGUGAAUAAUAAGUUGCACUACUGACAUGUCCAAUUGUCCAAUUGUCCAUUAAACAAACACUUGUCACAUGACGCAAAAAAAUAACCAGAAAACUCUCACGGUUUAGUUGCAGAUCAACUUUAACAGAAAAUCCUUAAGUGCUAUUUAAUGUAUAUUAGUUGUAAGUUUGCUAGCAGAGGGUAUAAGUUCGGAAAGGUCAAGGUCCAAAUUUUCAUUGAUAAGAAUGAAGAAAAGCUGAAAAAGUUAUCCCAUAGCUAAAAACAUACUUAUCUUGCUUUGCAUGCUCACGAGACCCCCAAAAUAGAUCCUCAUCAGAAUUAGUAUAGGAGUGACUGGAAACAUGGGAAGUCAUUUGGAGGGUUUUGGUAACCCCCAAUGGAGGUGAUCCAGAACCUUGCAAGGAUGAAUCAUUCCCAUGACUUUGCUGGUUCAUAGGCUCUUUUGCAUGGGAUGAUGCUGGUACUACUUGUUGCAGACUACCUGAUUCCCGUUCUUCCAUCUGAAUAUCUCUCAGAGACAAUGGUUCGCACACCUGUAGAGUGUCAGUAAACCAUGCUGGGCCAGGUGCAGCAUUUGCUUCAUCGUUCUUCCAAGGAACAAAAUCUCCCAGAGAUGGAGCACUUGGCUGAGGAGGAAGUUCGUCCUUUUCUUGCUGGGCCUGCUUGACAGACUUUCCCUUUUCAAUAGGCACAGAUACCACAGAUGGAUUAAACGAACCAAGUGGUGCUGGGGCUUUAACUGCAGAACCUUUGGAUUUCUCUGCCUUGUUCCUGUUCUUUCUUGUGUCCUUGACCUCAAUGAAAUCACCAUCAUCAAGAUAAUGAGCAUCACACUGAGUAACAUAAGGUGCCAAAGGAGGAAAAGAUGUAUCAUCAGCACUGUCUAUGAUGACAGCAUCUUUAUCAUUCGACUUUACCAGUACCUCUUCCGCCAAUAAAUCAUGCAACUGACUUCUCUUAGUCCGUGAUAUAUUGACAUUUUCUCGAUGACCCAUAGAUUUAGUCUCAUCUCCAAACUGUUGCUCAGAAGUUUCAGCCAAGCUAGCCCAAGGAAUAGAUAACACCGAAGGCGCUGUUGUAGUUACUUUAGCAUUUUCCUUGGCCAUUUCCCUCUGUGCUUUCAAUUGUUCCUCUGCUUGAAUUUCCAACAGUGAUUUGGUUCUAACACCUGGAGGAGGUUUCCAUGACUGAGGAUGGGUAGAGGAAAUUUCCACAUCAUGAACUUGAUUGGAGAUAUGAGAUGAUACAUUUUCCGAUUUUGCAAGAUCUUGAUACGAUCGAGGAAAACCUUUCUCUUCAUAAACAGUCACCUUGCUGCCCUCAAUAGAUCCAGAGUUCAGAGUUUUCUUAGAUAGUGAGUCUACAGUACUCUCUUUUCCUGAAGGAGCAUCAAUAACUGCAAAGUACCGCGUGAAACUAGCAGAACAUUCUUUCCGAGGUGCAUGGCCCAUCAUCUCAUGGGGCAACCAUAAAGCAGGAGCCCAACUUUCCGAGAAACCAAUAACCUGACCAGGCAGUUGUAUCUCAUGCAUACCAUGACAAGGUAACUUCUGAGCAAGUUCAAGUAUCUCUUGUGUUCUUUGAAGACAAAGCUUCAAACAAUCACCAGAUGACAAUGAAAUAUGAUUUGUCCCAUAAGGAUCAUAAAGCUGCUGCGAGGAACAAUCAUGAGGUGGGACCUGAGAAAUGUGUUGUUGCUGUUGUUGAUGCUCCUGCUGCCUGAGUUGUAGGAUGUUGUUCAGUAGAGAGGAUUGAGGUUGAGGGAUUCCAGGCAUCAGUGGCUGCAACUGUAGUUCUGAUGGCAGAUACUGUUGUUGCGAUAUGUUUAACUGAGGAUACUGAGAUAUUUCACUGAGAAAAUUUUCUGGCUGCAUGAUUUGUGAGUUCAAACAAGCCAAAGUUGGUUGAUUCUGGGAUGCAGAGUAAUGCUGUUGAGGAUCAAUACCUAUUUGCUGAGAAUUGUGCAGAUUUUGGUGCAUAUGUACCUCUUGAACAGGAUCUAUACCGCACACACCAGGAUGCAGAUUCCCAGACUCAGGAGUAUCUGACCAAAGUGGCAAUCCAGAAUUAGUAGCAGGUGCUUGAUGUUUUCCUGCAGGAAGCAGCACCGAGAGCAGGUUAACAUUCUGAGGUUGGAGAGCUUCACUUGAUGGGUCAAUCAUUUGAUGGAACAAUAUUGAGUGCGUAGUUGACUGAGUUGAAUCUUUCUUUUGUUUCUGUGCAACUGAUAUGAUAUCACCUUCUAUUUGAAAGGAAUUCUCCCUCUCUAACAGCCUCUUCUGUUCUGCAAGAUAGUUUACGCUAUUCACACCAUCACUGCCAGAAACAAAAAGGUUGCCAAAUAUACUGCUCCGUUCAUUCAUGCCUGAAAUCAAAAGAAAACGGCAUCACAUCUUGGAACAAAAUAUACAGGCAGAGAUAAAAUAAUGUCAUGAGAUGGGCAUAAAGAAUGACAUUGAUGAGAAACCAACCUCUAGUGACAGGGCUAGUUUCUGCUCUGGGAUUCUGGGUGUUACUAGACAUUGGAGACUCCAGAAAGUGAUUUUCAGCUUCAGUUACACUACCAUUCUUGUUUAUGGACCCGUAAUCAGAUAUCUCAAGAUAAGCUGAUCCUAGAUGUGGCAUACUUCUUGGUUUGGCAUUGCUGAAGCCUGGAGGCACCCUUACCUUUGCUCGUAAGUGUGGCAUGACAUCCCCAAGUAAUAAGAAAGGAGAAUCACAAGGAGCACUUGCAACACGGACCAGCAAAUCAAUACCAUAAAAACCAGCCUCGAACCAACCAAUGAUGUCAGAUCCAGAAAAAGGGCCCUGGGUUCGCCCCUUUGGAUCUUUGUAGUAUAAAGAAAGGUUUUCUGGACUGACAAUGUCAUCUACACCAACUUUAGUUCCUGGGUCCAAGUCAUUGUAUUGCUGUCCAAAUUCAAUAGAUGGCCCAUGGAUAUGACCACCAAUAGACUCAGAUUCUUGUGGAGCAGUAUAAGGAGAUUUAUCAGACUUUAAGCGCUCGCUUAAAUCAGCACCCCCAGGAAUUCCUAGCAAAGACAACACAGAUAAUACAAUUUAGUGAAUAAGCUAUAAAAAUUUAUGUGAGAAGAUAAAGCAGUAAUGCAUACUAUCAUGAUUACAAUUUUAAAGGGCUAAGGAUCCAAGAUGCAGGCAAAAUGCAACAAAAUGGAUAUCUAUAAUAUUGGUAUACACCGGUUUUUUUCUUGGGUAGCUGUAAUUUCAGAUGAAAUAAAUUGAAGGAAAUAGAUUGAAUACAUUCACCAGAUUUGGGUACUAUCCACAGAACAUUUCCUAGGUGCAAAAAUCAUAAGUAUAUCAAUCCUGCAAACAUAUUAUCCUUUUAUUUAUUUCUAUAAGGAAACAUGUGGAUGUGGUUGUAGGUUAUCUGGUUUAAACGGUAGCAACAGAAAAGGAACACCAUAAAAUAUUCUGAUGAAUACAUUCAGAAAUAUAUUUUUUUUAGUAAAUUUGUCACUCUCAAGCAUGAACAAGUCUGCUGAUAUGAAUCCAUCAAAGUUCCAUGAAAUGGCUGUAUUUAGAGCAUAUUAAGUAACACCAUUACACAAUCCUGGGGAGAACACCACACGGGAAGCUGGUACUAACCAAAUACAUUGAAUUCACAAUAUAUGCAUGAGCUCUACCACAUACCUCUGAUACUUCUGGUUAUUUUGCCCUUGAAAUCUUCACUGCUUCCUGAUUGAUCUUCUUUUCCAGCUGCAUAAAGGGAGUAAAAAACAAUCAGCACAUGAUUCAAAAGCUUCUGCACAUUGAUAACAAAAGUCAGAAGCUGCUUCUCACUUAGGUUUGAUUGUUCUAAUGGCACCACAUCUGGAUUACUUUUUCCAACAGAACCAUCUUUGCAAGCUUGUGCACAACUGUUUGUGACAUCUCCUCUUUCAAUUCCUUUCAAAAUCACCUAUUAACACAAGGAAAAUUAAAAGAUAAGAAUCUUAUGAUCACAAGACCUCCCUGUGCCAGUAAAGACAAAAUAAUAGUAAAAAUUACCGCUUCUUCAGCAUUAGGUGCGAUGAGGGCUAAAGGCUCCAUAGGAUCUUCUUGCCACAGUGAGAUAUCCUCAGUAUCAUCUAAUGGCAUUACAAAGUUUCUAACAUCAGUUGUUCUGUAAAUUUCAAGCAAUUUCAUCCUGCUAUAUCGCAGAGAGUCUCUAGAUGCACCACCAGGCCUGGCAGAAAGUACGCCAAGGUGGAAUGGGCGUGAAGAUUGACUAUUGACUCUGCUCGUAACAGAUGUAAACCUUCUGUGAAAACUUGUAGAGUUUGGGCUAUCACUUUCCUGCCUCUCCCUACUGUAUCCAAAUGAAGCAGAUGGCUUCUGCGGAGCCAGGGAAAGAUGAUCAGAUGUACCACCCGUGCCACGGCUCACAAAAUUGCUGGAGUUCCAUGACCGAGAAAUAUUACUACUGUAUGGCUUCUGUGGAGCCAGGGAAAGAUGAUCAGAUGUACCACCCGUGCCACGGCUCACAAAAUUGCUGGAGUUCCAUGAUCGAGAAAUAUUACUGUCCCUUUCAUUCCCCUGCUCAGGAUCACAAACAUCUUUCCCAUGACCUGUAUCGUGAGAGAAAACUUUUUCACGGGGAGUGUCAUCUUUUCUAUCUGAAUAUGACCUGUCACGCCAAUUUUCAGAAUCUUUAUUACUGGGACCCCUGCGAGCAUUCCACUUAUUAUCACGGCAUCGGUCAUAGUUUCCCUCCUUACUAUGUGCGCUUCCCCAGCGCUCUUGUGGACUCGGGUGGCUAUCAAGAUACUGCUUGGAGUCAUCAUAGGGCCGUCCCAUCUUGUUCAUAUCACUAUGUUCCUUUUCCGUUUCCCUCCACCGAAUUCGAUGGGAAUCUGAAUUCGGUUUGGUGUCAUCAUCACAACAUUGGUCACGGUGGCCUGCUAUUCUAUCAAACACAGAAGGCCUGAAAACAUCUCUUUUCUUUGCAGUAUUGUUCCUUUCUUCACUGUUUCCUGAUGUGUUUGCAGAAUUAGAGAGGAUACCAGGUGAAUCAGUCUCCUGCAGCAAACAAAUGAACAUCAAAUACAUAAGACAUCACUAAAACAGAAACGGCAAUCUGAGGGUAAUAGCUAUCCAAAAGAAAUUCUAUUACUCAGCAGUCCACUUUGGUAUUGUUACACAUAAUUAGCCAGAAUAGCAAAAAAGAACAGUUUUCUGGCCCUAUAGAAGUUACCAGGCUUUAGUCCAUAAGAUCUUGCUGAGAAGGGAAGAGAAAGUGCUACUAGAAAAACUGAUUUGAAUUAUUGGUAAAAGAAAAUGUGUUGUAUACAUAUCUUCUACCCAAGAAGAUAUGAGUCCAAGGGGCCAUGAUAUGUCUACUCUAGCUAUCCUUUACUUCUUACGACAGUUGGAUACCAAGAUUAUACAGAUUCAAAGAAUAUAUGGUGUCCAAACACCCGUAGAUACUUGUCCAGUUCUGUCAUUACCUUGUUUUCCCCCAGUUGUGGCUCAAGCAAACGAGUAGAGGGUGUGCUAUUGAUAUCCAGUUCUGGUUUGUCUGCAGAAACAAAAUAGUACCAUAAGUAAGCGCAAAAUCAUUGUGUUCAGAAACAACAGAGACCAGGUCUCCAUAUUUAACCAGCAAAUAAUUUCCUUAUGGACAAGACAUGGACAGUCCAUAGUGAAACAUAAAUAUAAAAGGCAAAGAAACAAAAAUAAACCACAGAAUUCAAGCAUCUGUACAACUGUAACAGAGGAUAUUGGUUAUGCUACGUUUAAUGCAAUAGUGUGAAUUUGCUUGCACAGAAAAAAUAAAGCUCAAAGCUAUGAAGUAAAACAAGCAUUUACCAAUUUUGUCGUUUCAAAAAAAAGAAACAAGUCAAGUUCUUAGUUGUUACAGCAGUUCAUUGUAAGAGCUUGCACUUAAAACCAGUAACUUCAACAUAAGAUAUCAUGAUUAGUAGUGUUUCAUUAAAGCGGAUCUACGGAAAAUGGUACUUUUGAAGGACCACUGCAACCAGUAUCACUGAAGGAUUUGUAACGGUAAAGGACUGACCAAAAGAGGACCUGAUAGCGAAUUAGCGAUCACCAACAAAAUCUAACAUCUACAUGACACAGCUCGAGAAGACCAAGCAAUAUAGGGUAUAUCGUAGUGCCACUAAACGCCAAUGCAUACGGUACAUAACCAUAACCAGCACGUCAGCGAUCAAAUUUUUCUGACAAAAAAAUGUAUAAAAAAAGUGAGAAAAUCAGCACACAACAAGCAGUGCUGCAAUCAAAUCUAACCAAUCCAAAGUCCGAACUGUAGUCCUACAUGCUCGACAUACUAAAACACAACACCCAUGCCCCCAUACAAAUUAACUCUAAUGAAGAAACAUUUUCACUCUGACAGAAACCGUAAGGUCGAUCAUCCACCAAACCACCGAAGAAAACCCCAACGGGAGUCGCAAGUUCGCCAAUUUGGUUGACGCCUACGCCACCCAAACCCCGCAAAAACCAAAAGGCCCCAGAAACGGCGCGCGAACCCGUGCACAGCGCGCACGGAGCCGCGCGCCGCCUCGCACGCACGCACGCACCGAGGGAUCGAUCAACCACGCCACCCAGCGGUAAAUUAAGCCAACCCACCAAGGUAGGGCUCGCGUCAGCGGCCCAGCGCUCCGGUUCAAGCGCCCGAUCGAAAGGACGCGGCGAGUUGGGGGAGUGUGGGGGUGGGGAGGGGGGGGAUCAGUUAAUCACCUUGGGUGUUCUCGGGAGGUGGAGGCGCGUCGGGGGUGGAGCAGCGGUUGGGGUCCGCAUUCUCGCGGUCGCCGUCGUCGGCCAUGGAUGCGGCGGUGGCGGCGAAAGCCCUAGCGGCGGAGGAGGAAAUGGGGUUUUCGGGAGGGGAGGCGAGAGCGAGCGAGAGGGGGAGAGGAAGUGCUGAGUGCCUGAGUGGGGGUUUACGAGCUUAACGAGGCGGAUGCGAGAGAGGAGACGUGGGAUCGCGUACAAGUACAACCAGCUUGCUGCUUUCCACGUGGCGGGGUUUUGCGUGCAGGCCCUCUCCUUUAGUCCGUAAUUUUGGACGGCCGCUGAGAAACAUUUACGGUUUACACCCCAACCUCCUCUGAUCGUUUCAUUUGUUGCGCUUUGGCAUCUUUUACUUACUUCGUGUGCCAGACGCCCAGACGGUGUGGUGAGGACUGAGGAGUGCAUUUGCUGCGGGAAUCGCAAAGCAUUCACAGCACGAUAAGCCUGGCAUUUGGACGAUCAUUGAAGAAGUAUAUGAAGUAUGGAGAAGAGGGAAAAAAAAGAAAAUACUAGGGCUGGAGCACUCGAUACUAGCACACCAAGGAUGAUUUGUGGGAUGCCCACAAAGCAAAGUGAUGUUGAUCACGCGAGAAUACAUUACAAAGAGAAGUAGGAAAGGAAGCGCACGUAGCAAGCAAUUGAUAGUGAGUUUUGUUGCUUUGAGACAUGGAACAGGGUAAAAGUGCGCUAGCUUAGUUCCCAUUCCAUAUAAAGAUGCAUGAGUGUGACUGGAGGUAUCAACCGUGCCAAUGGCACUUGAUGUGUCACUAUAAAUGGAAAAAAAAAAGAUACCUAGGCACUUGAUGCUAAUCACUAUAAAUGGAAAAAGGAAAAUCAACCAUGCCUAGCCACUUGAUGCUGAUCACUAUAAAUGGAAAAAAGGAAAAUGAUACAUCGUGGGAGAAGGGGAGAAAAACCAUGAGAUAAAAGGGGAAAGUUUACGACACCUUUCAAAUAUGGAAUCGACUAGAGCACACCCUUCGCCUGCUACUGUUGUAGUGGGAUUGCUCUAGUGAUGUUUUUUUUAAGGAACAGGAGGGGCAGAGCCCCUACUAGUUAAUAUAUUAAUAAACAGGAAAAGGUACUUGUACAAAAGAAAUAAAAGACAAAAAGGGGAAAAAACUCACUAACUAGAGGAGGGCUACAGGGCAUUAAGCCAAGAUUCCGCAGGGACAAGGCCAGGCUUAGUAGCUCUUAGAAGAACAAGGCCUUGUUUAGUUGGCCAAUUUGGGAGGUGCCAAAUUACUGUUACAGCACUGUAGCACACUGUAGCGUUUCGUUUGUAUUUGUGAAUUAUUGUCCAAAUAUUAACUAAUUAGGCUCAAAAGAUUCGUCUCGUAAAGUACAACAAAACUGUACAAUUACUUUUUAAUUUCAUCUACAUUUAGUACUCCAUACAUGUACCGCAAGUUUGAUGUGAUGGGGAAUCUUCUUUUUGCAUAGUGUCAAAGUUGGAAGUUGGGAGUAACUAAACAUGGCCCAAAGGAAAAUUCAGAAAUUUGCUCUGACAAUAUUGGUAAUGCAUGCUUCGGCUGCUGCUGUUGCAGUGUGGCGAUGCUUGUCUCCUUGAUCCGACCGGUGCACGCGCAUUGGCACGAGGCAAGGACAAGUGAGGCCACAACUAUAUUUGUAAACCUCACGGUUACAACCACAUUAUGUUUGAAUUUUUUGCAAUGCUUCGAAGAAGCAAUAGCCAAACCACAAAGCAGUGAACACACCAUACUCCACCCAAAUGCUUGCCCCAAACAACCAAGCCAGAUCGAUAACAACGCUGUUAAACUUAUUGGAGCCCAAAGUCAAGUGCAUUUUCGAUCUCAUCACUAUUGAUGAGUCGCCGGCCACACCUGCCAUUGAGUUUACCUCGUGCAUUCUAUCCUAGUACCCUAUAUGGUAUUCUAUCACCAUGGGCUUCACGUGCACCGCACUCAACUAUGUGGGAGAAGCUCAUCAGGUUAUUAUGGUUGAUGCAACAUGUGACAAGCAUAUCGUUGGUUUCUCGCAACAGAGUUCAUGGUAAACAUGCAUGUUAGCAUGCGGUGUAGCCUAGGGGGCAAGGGCAUAGGGGCCAAGGCCCCCAAGGCAUGCAAAAUUCCACUAAAAUUUUAACUAAAUUUUGAAAAUUUUAACACUCUUACCCUCCUAAUCAUGUAAAAUUUAAGUUUUUGGUUCCGCCACUACUGCAUGUUCACCAUAUCAUACGCAAAUGAAGUUUGGCAGCACUCCACUCCAGAAAAAACAGUUUCAAUCCACCAACUCUAUCAUUUUGCAGCUCCACUCCACCAACUUCAGAAAAACAUGGAGUUGAUUAGGGGUGGGCACUUUUAAACCGAAACCAAAAGAACACCAAAUCGAACCAAAAUGUCGGUUUUUUCAUUUUUUCGGUUCGGUGUCAGUUUUGAUUUUUGCCCGAAUCGAUCCUCGAUGUCGGUGGUUUGGUUCCGCUCCGCGCGCGCCGAACCGAACCACCGAAUCACCGAUGUGUUACUCGCAACCGUUCAAUCCUUACUCUCCGGUGGCCCACAGGGACUUUGGCCCAUCUUAGCCCAAAGCCACACCGCCCCUGUCCUCUGACCAUCGAUCCUCCUUUCGCCAUUCCUCCGUCCGACUCUUCUUUCCUCAUCCUGCUCCCGCAUCAGCGUCGCCUGCCCCAUCCACCACAGCUUCGUGGGAUCCUAUCCUUACUAUUGCGGCCUUGUGGGCUUGCGGCGCGGGCGAGCAGUCACCGACCAAGCGCGUGGCGGCGAGGGCACAGGCGAGUGGGCACUGCAGCGCUGCACACGCAUGGAGCAGCGGCGGUGCGAGUGACCAACCGCCAGCCACGGCGCACGUCCCAAGCAGCGGCGGCGUGGGAACGGCCGCGGUCAUGCGUUGUGCAGCAGCGGCAUGGCCCGAUCUCCGUCUCCCAACUAGGCUUGGACAGGGACAACGACGACAGAGAUGAGGUAUGGAUUUCGGUUUGACUUCAGUGAAAACCGAACACCACACUGAAAACACCAAAACCGAAUUCCUCGUUUUUUUUCAAUAUGGAACGAUCGGUUUCCAUUUAAAGUUGUCAGUUUAAACCGAAUGCCCACCUCUAAAGUUGAUGUAUGUAUUUGGCUGAUUGCAGUUCUCCAGCUCCAAAAAUAUAAAGAAUUAUUGUGAAUAGUAUAUUUUAUCCUUUAUAAACGGAUCCAGUGGCAGUCUCCUCUCUUUUCUCCUUCCUCCUCUCUUUUCAGUUUUGGACGAGAAAUCAUGCUGAGCUCCACGCCAUGGGCAGCGCGUCGUCCCCGCCGCCGUCUUCCUCUCUCUCUGCUGGCUGGGAGACCACCAGCACAUGGCGGCGCAGCCCGGCCGGCGGCAGUGGCGCAGCGCUGCCCCGCGGGGGACAAACGGCGCGGCCCCUCGCGCAGCAGGAGGCGCAUGCGGCGCGGCCCCGCCGGCGGCAGCGGCGCAGCGCGGUCCCGCGGGGGGGAACAGCGCGGUAGGAGGCUCAUCGGAGGCGGAGGCGUGACGAAUGACAGACAGAGACGGCACACGGCACCGACGAGUUCACGCGCCGGCACCUGCCGUGGCCAUGGCCGGGGGACACCGCUCCGUUUCAUUUGAGAGUUUGAGAUCUGACAAAUCGAAGAUAAAAGACACUAAAAACAAAUUGAAGUUCUUCCUGAAAUAACAUCCCAUGAAUGAGUUAUGGUUGCUCGAUUGCUUGGUUGCUGCACGAUUGAUUGCUUGCUGCCUGCAGGAGCAACAAUGAACAGACAGACCUGCCGCUUGCCUACAAAUUGCAGAUCGACGACACGCAGGAGACUCACCCUGGCAGGUGAGCGGCGCAGGGGUAGGGAGGCCACCGGCCGUGGCGGACAGCGCAGCCUGGGCGGGCACUGGAGACGCGGCUUGCGGGUGACGGCGGUGUGGAGGCUAGCCCCGACGUGGCCAUGGUGAGCGCCUGAGCGGCGCACGGGGCAUUGAGGCCACCGGCGGGCGGCGGCAGUGCGGAACGGCGAGCGAAGGCAGCGCGACCUAUCGAGCGACGGCGGCGCGGCCUCGAUGGGCCCACGAGUGGUGGCGCCAGAGGCCGGUCCCGGCGACGGGAGGGAGAGGAGGGAUCGUUUUGUUUCGCGAGUUGCGUAUUAGGGUCCCCAACCCCACGAGGAUGUGUGAGGUAAUUAGGGAAAAACAUGGAUCUAAUUCUAAACUUCAUGUUUUUUUUGGAGUUGGAGUUUAUGAAGCGGGACUUGUUUAACAGGAAGUUUCGUAGAGUUGGUGAAGUGGAGCAAUUUUUUCUAAAGUAAAGUGCUGCAAAACACCCACAGCUCUCUAAAAAUCUGACACAUGAAUUUCCGAUCGAUCGAACAUAUUUUAGUCAAUUUAGCACACAAUUCUCUCUCCACUCACAAAAAUGAACAUUGUUACCGAUUCUUGCGUGUGCUCAAGCAAAUUGCCAUGAAGGAGCAAUGUCUACCAACAAAACCAUAACUGAGAAGUGCAAAUUUUGCCGAGGAAGGAAGCUGAGGCUAUGGACUUCCUUAUUUGGAUGUUUUCAAUGGUUACACGUGGCAACUCAGUAUCCAAGAUGUCACGCGAGGUUAAUGAUGUGUUCGUCCUUGGACCUCCGACGACACAUGGUCCAUAGCUGGUUGACGAAGAGCCAAAGGUCCGGCUAGAUUCUAAAACACUCGCCUACGUGUCACGCGGGAAUUCCAGGGUGGCCGGUGGCCCCAUGCAUCCCGCAGCCUCACAAACCGACGACCUCUGCAGAUGAGGCAAACACCAACCACCCGCCAAGAUCAACAACACAACAGAACGCAACAGAAACAGAAAGAGGGCAGCGAGCAGGGGAAUGAGGAUGGAUCCUCCUCUCCCCUCUGCUAUUUUUCGCCCCUCGUGAGAUGGCGGCGGGGUGGAUGAAAUGCCCUGACGUGCGCGUGCCCGGGUAGCGGGCGCGCAGGGCCUGGCCUCCGCUGCUUGCCCUGACGUGCGCGUGCCCGGGAGCGGGAGGGGCGGAGCCGCGACGCCGUUGCGGCUUCCUCCUCCUCAUCCCGCCCCCACCCCGUAGGGGCGCCGCGGACGUGAGCGAGUCCGUCCGUCAUGUCGUCUAAUUCUUCGACCAGCCCGCCGGCGGCUCCGUCGCCGGCGAAGAGCAGGCCUUCUCCUUCGACCGCUCCGCCGCCGUCAGCGGACUCCUCGUCUCAGCCGACGGCUUCAUCCUCUCUGGCGCCAUCCGGGCACAGCGACGCCUCGCCGCCACCGCCACCGGCGCCGGCGAGGUCCCAUGGCGCUCCGUUCUCACCGGCCAAGACCCACCCUCCACCAGAGCAUUCGUCUAGAGGCUCCGGUGGCGGUGGCAGUUCGCCACCGGCUUCCGUGCACCAUGGCGGCCCCACCAUGGUGGAAAUCGUUUUCGCCGCUGCCGGCGCGGUGGCGCUCCUCGUCAUCCUCAUCGCGGCCUGCGUCUGCUGCUCGAGGAGGACCGCGCCGAGGAGGAGGAAGAGGCCUCACAAUCCCAUGCAUUACUACG